AUAAGGCCAGCUACUGUUGAAUCAAGUGUUAACUCUAGUGGGAGAAUGUAAGUUCUAAUGAGAGCUGAACACUUGAUCAUCUUUAGUUUGGAGACGUGAGGAUUUAAGAGAUUGGAAUCAACUUAAGGUUGUAAGCUGAUAAGGAAUUUGUAUAAUAGGGGUUUCAGCUAAAACAGUCAUGAUAGUGUUGAAACACUUAUAAUGGAUGUGAAUGAUAGGUUUUCUCAGUGAUAAGGUUAGAUUGAUUAGGAUUGUAUAAUGGGAAGAGCCCUUAUCAAUCAUCAUCGUAUGCAGUAUAAAAAAGGGGUCCAUGCGCUCUCUCAAUCACGCAAACUAAAGAAUACUCAGAUCCCAUUCAUUGAGUGUGAGGAGAGCUGCAGAAGAUUCCUAGUUUCUAAGAGAUGUCUUCUUCAGGUUAGUGGUUACUUUUGGUACUGUGAUUAUUCUAUUCCGCUGACUUUAUUUAUAUUGAUCAUACAGUUGUUACCAGAGCUUUAUGUGGGCUAUACGUGGUACAGUUUUCGGUUCUGAUUUAUUAAAGUUGCAGCUGGUUGUUUCGCCUGGAUCACAGUUAGUUCUGUUAUUGCCAGAUCUAUUAUAGCAGAGGGCGACUUGGGCCAAAUAUAUUAAUGGUUUACUUCCAUUGUUGCUCUUCUUCUGGUAUUGUUGAUAGCAUCUGAUAUUGACGGAAUGUCCGCCGGUUUCGGACUCAAUUGCCUUUGUUAUCUGAUCGAUGGAGUACAAUUUGUACAACGACAUCUCGGGCUGAAGUGGUUGGGGUACAAUAUUAUCCUUCUGCAAGAUUUGAGCUAUAUCAAAAUCAUGGUACAUCGCUAGGGUCUUCCGGAAGUACUCGGUCUUCAGGAACACAUUGUCGGAGCACUUUCCGUGCUUAUCAUACUCUCGUUGCCAGAAUUCGACAGGCUUCCCUUUUCUCCAAUCCCACCACGAACUAAGUAGCGCCUUUUUCAGUGCAUCAUCCAUCUACAUAUAUUAUUUAAUUAAAACAUAAGAAGAAAACUAGUUAAGAAUACACGUACAUACACGGUACACAUGCAGGGAGAUAUAUAAUGAUACAUAUAUACAUACAUACACACACGUAGGGACGCACAUGCAUAUUAACUAUUGAGAGUUAAUUUGUGAAUAAUUACCUCAUUCACAUUAAAGGCAUCCCCCUUGCAGUCAAGGGAUGAAGAGGAUGAUUUAUUCGCAGGCCAGAGACCAUGAAUAGUGAACUGAAGAUGAGAUGGUUGCAUGAUGUGGCAUUUAUUCACCCCCCCCCCACCCUAUAGCUUGGCAUUCAGCAGCUGGCCAGAACUGAACAUGCAUAAAGUAUUGGAAUGGUGUGUAAGCGGAUGAAACUGUGACAAACAAGAAGAAAAAUAUGACUUGCACUAACUUCGACUCCAUUUCUAAUUCUACCUGAUGUUUUGAAGACAAAGUUGCAUGUAUUUAUAGUACCUAUGGGGUGGAGGUGGAGGUGGUGGAGGGGUUAAAAUGAAACCAUCGAAACAAAUGCGAAAUUGUUAAAAACUUAAUUAACAUUCCUACUCCCACUACAAAUGAAAAUCAAUACAAGUCUGAAAUUCAGUAUAUAACUUGUUACAUAUCACUAUCAAGUUUUCAAUUUAUAGGCAAAAGAAACUGCAUGCAUGUGUAGACAUGCUGUGAGAAAUUUGAAACCAACACAUGCUGUGAGAAAUUUGAAACCAACACAUGUUGUGAGAAAUUUGAAACCAACACAUGAUGUGAGAACUUUGAACUAACGCAGAUUAUUGUUUUGUUUCCAUUUCAAGAAGUCACCAACAAAUCACAUAUAUACAUUUUUCAAGUACUCCAUCACGACCAUUACACAUGCCACCAUCCCCCGUCUAAAUAAUAAAUUAAUUUCCAAUCAAGCCAAGGCUGCUCACGUGAGGAACCUUCAUUCGACCUGAAUGUCAUGAAUAUACAUCAAUAACAAACCCACUUAGUAUUAUGACUAUUUUUCCCUUUAUGGUAAAUAUGAAAUUAAAUUGAAGAAUUCCUAAUUAUAUACAAAUUAUUUACCUAUGAUAUUGAUGUUUAAAACACUUCUUUUUUUGUUGAAUUGUAUAGUCUAUAUCUAUGAAAAAUAUUUACUUAACAUAUUCAUCUAAUUACCUAUAAGAUAGAUAGCUAUGGAUAAAGAUACCAAGACAAUUAUAUACCUAAAGCAAAGAUAUAUAAACACGAUUAUGAGUUAUCACCAUAACAAGUUCUAAGACAUGUAGAAGCAAAAAGAAAAUAUACUACAUGUAGUUGUUGGCAUUUUUGAUUGGGUAUUUCAAUAUACAACCCCUCAUUGAUCAUGUUAAUAUCAUUCUUAAUGAUUUCUUCUAAUCUCAAUUUCAAUUUUGUUUGCAAACCAGAAACUAAUGCAUUAAAGCGGUUAUAUAUUGGGGCUAUAAAUUAGACUUUCUCCUUAAAUAUGCCAUCUUGAUUAACCCAUUAAUUGGGCAAUUAUAUAGGCUAACGUUUUCAGACCAUGCUUAAUCAUGUUUACUUUUCUCAUAUUCUAUGUAAAACCAACUCUUCAAGCCGUGAGGAUUAUGGUUGAUCCUUUUACCUAGAAUACUCCUAAAUUUGGUGGGCCGGAGAUCGAACCUCACAUCCCCAUCUUGGGAUCUAUCCAGAUGAUGAGUCGUGAGGAUGCCCUUAACAAGUUUAGAUUUGCUCCUAUGGAUGACAUCGUUGCUAAAGUUGAUCGGGUGAUUACUAAGAAUUACUAUCACCAGUGUGUUUCACUAUUGAUGGAUCAAAAGGUAUAUAUUUUGUCGAUCCCUUGUUAAUACAUAUUCAUUUUCUUGAUGUUUUGUUUUGUUUCCUUUUCAUCUUUCUCGUUUUGGUUUGAGCUUGAAUAGACUCACUUAUCAUUACACCUUCUUUUCUUAGUGAUGUGAAAAUAUAUAAGCACACAAAUUAAACCUUUUUUUGACAAUUGUAGUAUAUAUGUAAGUAGGGAUCGUUCUUAAACCGGAGAUUAGAAGGGAUUGCUAAAACACUUUAAACUGACUCAAAUAGAUAAAACUAAGCUUUAAAACACUUUACUAGACUUAAAAGACUCAAAACAAGUUCACAAGACUCAAAAUAAGCUAAAAACACUCAAAACUGCCUAAAAACACAAACUGGACAGUUUCUGACUCUAAACACAAUUUUGGACGAAAAUUAGUUUUAACUUGACUCAAAACACUUAAAAACACAAUCUAAAACAAAUCCUAACUAGUUAGACACUCUAAAGUAAAUGGGGAUUUGGUUUUGGACGAAAAUAAAGUAAACAAAACAAGAACUAAAACUAGGCAGAUUUGCACGAAUUUGGUGGAAUAAGAUGGAUGAUGGGCUAGCUAGGAGGUCUUUCUCCACACAUAACAUACUUGCAUACAAAACAAUUUCCAGUUGCUUUUUUAAUGAACCAUGAACCUCAACACCCCAAGUUAAUUAGGUACGCUUAAAUUAACCCUCAGAUUUUCCUUAAGUCAUUGAAUUGAAUGGAAUUGGCGCAUCGCAAUCAAAUUAUUCCUCAAAAGUUCCCUACAUGAAAGCGCAUAAUAGAGAAACAAUCAAAGAUUAUUAAGUUCUAUGAAAAUCAUAAGUGUUGACAAGGCAUUCGUAACUAUGAAAGCGCAUGAUACUUAUGCCAGGAAUUUACUUAACAUGAUUGUGACUAACAACCUUUACUACUUAUGAAUAUAAGUUCAUAACGAUUAGGUGAAACUCCCUUAUAUCCUAGCAUCAGAUUUAUGCAUGCAAAUUAAGUGUGCACUCUCAACUCACAUACAUAAACAAGUUUUAAUUCAAACAGAUAAGUAAAUUGAAUUCACAAUUCAUGAAAUCACAACUGGAUGUAAUCAAAUCGUAUUGCAAAUAUAGCCAUGGUUUCGAAAUUCCCCCUAGCUAAGAGGGGUUUAGUUCCUCAUACUCACAAAACAAAGAUUAUUGAAUUUAAACAUUGAAAACAAAAGAAAGAUUACACCUAAAACGUUCCAGCAACUCCAAUUAGAAUGGCAAGCACGUCCAAGGGCUCUCCUCCUUCUUCCUUGCUGUGGCAUAAGGUGUGGUUGGUGGUUUUAUUGGUGAUGGAUGGUGUAUUCUUGUGUAGGAUGAUGAAUGAUGGCUGAUGAGGGUGAAAGGUUGCGGCUGAAUGUGUAUGGAAUUGUAUGGAUCAAAUGAAUGAUGUAGAAUGGUGUCUAGGGUUGCGGCACAAGGGUUUCUGAAUGGUAGGGGGUGGUGACGAAUUUUGGCUGAAAAACUUAUAUUUAUAGGCUAGGGUUUUGUAGAAAAAGGCUUGGUCUAAUCCAAGGUGGAAAAGAACUAGGGUUUGUGGCAGAUUUUUAGGCUUCUAGAAAGAGAAUAGGCGCCACUUUUUUAGGCUUCUAGAAAGAACAUGUUUUGUGGCAGAAAUUGGGACUUCUAGAAGGGUUUGGGGCGCCACCUUUCUAGGGCUUCUAGAAAGGUAGAUGCAGCAUGUGUUUAAGGGAAGAUAUAGGCCUUCUAGAAGGGUUUUAGGUGCCCUUGCAGCUGAUUAUUCAUCUUCCAAGUCUUGAAUUGAUUUCUCCAUCUCUUUAGCACGUUCUUAGCUUCACUUGAUCUUCAAAAACAUCCGUUCCUUGUGCUCCACAUGCAUGCAAUCCAUUCCAGCCCAUAAUUGCUCUAAAAUGCUUCAAAAUGCACUUUCUUGCCAACUUUGCCAAUUAGACCUACAAACAAACGAAAAUAGCUUAAAUCACUACAAUAAACACAAAUUAACUAUGAAAAUGCAAGAAAACAAGCUAACUAAGUCGCAUAAAUAUGCUCCUAUCACUUAGUUAUUUGAAAAUGCCCAACGUUGGAGCUACCAUUUUGGUUUCUACAACAGUAAGUUGUUGUUUACAGUAACUUAAUUUCUUAAAGUGUUGAUGGGAAUGUACUUAUGUAAUUGGUCAGAUUCAGACUAGGUUCACUAGUUUGUGCCGAUUUCCUUUUUCGGGAAUGUGAAUCCUUUAAACCAGGAGGCCUGCCACGCUAUAGGGUAGGAGCAGGUGAUUGGCUAGCCGCCAAUGUACCUUGCCAUGUGGGAGGUGAGGCCACCCCACCCUCAAGGACGGAUCGGCCUUCCACAACGGUGUUACGGCAUACGAUCGAUACGUCCAUUCUUACAAGUACGUUUGCAGCGGGUAUAUGUGAUCCAAUCACCUUCGCUAGAUCAGUAAAAGCAUCCAACAUGGUUUGAGCAAUGCUCUGAAGAUCUAGAAUGCAUCUUACUUCAGUUUCAGACUGAGGCGUGCGGGGAUCUAAAUGAGACAUAGUGGGAGUAAUCCACGACAAUAAUUAUAACAUACGGGUUAAAAUUAUUUAAAAUGCCAAAAAUUAGCAUUGGAUCGAAAAAGGAUAGCCCAAAAAAUUGAGGCUUGGGUUCAGCUGCAAAUAGGCAGCCCACAGAUGGUUGCAGCCCACGGGUUUAGAGAAUUGGGUAAGUCCAGCAACCAAGGCUGCUGGCAUUGGGCCAAAGGGGCGCGCAUGGACAAGCCCAGUCGAAGCUGGCUUGUGGGUUAUCACAUGGAAGACCCAGCCGAAGCUGGAGCCUAGUCUUUGGGCCGGGGGAAGAAGCCCAGCCAUAUGGGCUGGCUGUUUGCUUGCGAGCCGGGCAAGAUCAAAGCCCAGCAAGCUACGGGCUGUGCUGAAAUAGGCUUGAGUGGGCCAGGGCUUCAGGCCCCUGUCAGGGGACAAGCCCAACAUGCUUAUGGCGUGCGGGUUUGGGCUGGAUUAGUUCGGGCUUCAGGACCAUGUAUCAUACAACCCAAGCUGAAGCUUGGUUGAGUCCAAGGGAUGCAACAAGCCCAGAGGGCUGCGUACAAGGUCCAAUGACACCAAAACGAUGUCGUCCCACAAUUUGUCGCCACACGGCUGGGCUACAGGCCAACACGGUGGUGCCGCAAUUUUCCCUUUUUCUUCUUUUUUUCUUCUUCGAAUAUCUAGGGUUAAAACCCUAAUUACUUCUAAAUUAAUUUUGAUUCUUUGACUCACAAUUCCACAUAGCAUAUAUGCGUAAUGCAUGAACAAUUAUAUAUAUUGACAAAAUAUAUGAACAUAUAUACGAUAUAUAUAAUUGGAAGGAAAAUAUAAAUAUAAGGGGUUCAUGCAUCAAGGUUUUUUUCAAAUAUCUUAAUUUAUUUUAGAAGAACCUGAUUGGGAGAAAACGAUUGAAAGCCCUUGAAUUUGUAGAAGAUAGACUCCUUCUACGAUCCUUCAUCCCUUAGCUUUUGGCAAGAGCGUGCUGAUAACGUGUUGUAGGCCUAUUUAACUGAGCUAUCUAAGGACUAAAGAGAGGGGGCCGGCAGCAACAAGAGAGAAAGAGAGAGAUUUAAUUAUGAGAUAUGUGUUGUAUCACCCCCUUAUGUCUUUAUUUAUAGUGGUAGGAUGGGUAGAGUCCUUACCUUUUUAGUAUUACAUCUCUUAAUAGGUGAUCAACUCCUAAUGGUAACUACAAGAUACUCCUAGAUAUACUAGGAUUUACAUAAUCACAUUCCUAAUCUGAUACAACUGCAACAAAUAUGAAGAAAAAAAAUGGUAUUAAUAUUGCGUGGCUUCCAUGCGUUCCUCACAAAUGGGAAAAAUAGAUGUAAAAAAAAUAAAUACACUAACCUAAAAGUUAGCUUACUCAUCAGUCUAAUAUGGAAUGUAAAUUGGGGGUAGCAAUGUACUCAAUAGGUUUAAAAUUGAAGAAAUAAAAUAUUAAACAAAUGCUUAUGGUUUUUGAUCUUUAAUCUAACUUUCUAUUGAGGGGAAACAACACAUGUGAAUAAAGCAAAUGUUAGUCAAUGGUGUUGGGUCUUUUUUCUAACUUUCUAUUGAGGGAAACAACAUAUGUGAUUAAAGCAAGUGAUUUAAUGAUUUAUAUCUUAGGGACUAGGCUAGUCUUACCAUAGUAUACUUUAAAUAAUAUCGUUAAUAAUACUAAUAUAGUAUGAGUGUAAUCGUGUAAUAAGACAAUCUUAAAUUCUUAAUAGAAAGCAUAGCUGACAGAUAAGAUGCAUAUAUACCUUCCACCAAAUGCAGAAAAAAAAAUAGAGAUACAAUGUAUUCAUAUCUCGAUACACUAAAAUGGACAUGAUUCAUAUCUAUUCCAUAAAGAAUGCAAAUAUUCCACAUUUUUCGAAUAACGUAUAUUCACAAUAUGACUUGGGCUAAAAUGAAGUCCUGUCUAAUUCACAUUCGCCAUGUGGACAUGACGUGACAAAAUAAAAUGAACCUGGGCUAAAAUCAAAUAACAUGACGCCCACAAAUAAUGAAUGAUAUCGAGCCAGCCCAACUGUAAGGUUAUGGGGUCAAAUAACACAAGUCUCACACUUGGUCAUAUCCAUCCAACCUAAAACAAUGUUCCAUCACAGUUGGAGGUUGUGGGUUUGAACAAUGCAACUCUCACACUUGGUCUAUAAUUUUACAAAAUUAAGGCGUUUUUUAAGAUGCAAACUUUGCGUGCGACCUUGCAUUAGAAACGCCCUUAGAAACGCCUACAAAAUUGAAGUUGAACUUGAAACAAAUCCCUCCCAGUUGCAUUGCACCAUUCACAGUCAUAAAGCAGAACAGAACGCCGGCCGGCACGGCCUCCAUCGAAUCCUUCUCCUGCGGGGGUCUCUUUCAUCUCUGGUAAUUUCUACAACAAUUAAUUAAAUCUUUAAUUAAUAAUCUAAAUCAGUUUCUAUGAUGAUUAUAUAUAUAUAUAUAUAUAUAUAUAUAUAUAUAUAUAUAUAUAUAUAUAUAUACGCGCACAACCCCAUGUAUAAUUGAACCUUGCUUCCAAAAAUUAAUCAAAGUUUUGAUCUAAAAUCUUAAUCGGUGUCCUGUAUAUGAUUUUUUUUUCUUCUUAGAAAUCUUAAUUAAAAAGUUUUAUAAUUUGUCGUGUAAGGGAGAGCGCGAGUAGUGUUGCAGCAGCAAAAUGAAAAUGGGACAAGAUAUGUUGGUGAAAAUCCUGCUAACUCUGCCCCCCAAAACUCUGAUGCGAUUCAAAUGUGUCUCUAAAUGGUGGUUUGCUCUCAUCAACAAUCCGGGUUUCGUGUCAAAGCACCUCUCCAACUCUGCAAACAACAAUCUCACCACUCUCCACGUCUUUUUGGCACGAUUAGUAGUGCAGCGGCAACAUGAGGAGGAGGAGGAGGAGGAGGAGAACCCCAAGUGUAACAGCACCACUAAGAAGGAGGAGACUCCAGAAGUAUUAUCAAUUCUUGGGUUUUGCAAAGACGACGAUAAUACUGAUGACGAGCAUAGCAAUAGCUGCUCUCUUGUUGGUGUCCAGGACAUCAUUAUUCCUCAAUCUUUUAUUCAAAAGAUCAGAGUCCCGGAACAACCAUUUUGUAUCCUAGGCCACUGCAAUGGCAUUGUUUUACUAUCUAGUGACAGUAGCCUAGUUUUAUGCAAUCCCGGACUUGGGGAAUUCAAUCGUAUUCCCGAUGAGCCAUGCCUUCCAUUGUGGCCCUUGGACCUGCCCGAUGAUCACGAUGGGCAAGAACAUAUGGAAACUGGUUUUCAUAUUGGAUUUGGCUAUGAUCCCGUGUCUAAUGAGUGCAAAGUUGUGACCUUUACUACUUAUUUUCAAGAGGUAGAUGAAGACUGCCGGACUUUUCUUAGUCGGCACAGAGCAGUAGUAUACACCACGGGUUGUGAUUUUUGGGAAGAGCUCAACACAGAUUCUUUAGAAACCGAAACUACUUUGUUUUGGCCUGAGUAUUUCCAGAUGCCCUUCAAGGGAAUGUGUUAUUGGCUGGGAUAUGAGCAAGAUAAGGAAUUAUUUCCAUUUGACGCAGUUGAGCAUCGAUUCCGUGCGAAUGGGGGAUUGAUCAUUUCCUUCGAUGCAAGUCGUGAGGUAUUUCACGGUAUACCCUUUCCAUCUGAGCUCCAACCGUUAAACCGGUCGGAUCACCUUUAUACGAAGCUUACUGUUUGGAAUGAAUCAGUUGCUUUUUUUGCCCUUGGUGUGAACGAUCGUCGAUAUCCUGAACCUUAUGAAAUGUGGGUGAUGGAUGAUGACUUUAAGGGUGCUUGGACAAAACACUUUACUAUUGAGGGCACAGAUGAUCAGAUACGUAGGUCUAGUCCUGUGGCGUUGUGGGGCGAUGAGUGUCUUAUGGUUGACAGUGAUGGGCACGUAGUUUUCUUUAAUCUUUGUACCAAAAAGCUUAAGCACACUCCCAUUGAAACAGUAGAUAAUAAUAUUGUUGUUUAUGUGAAUAGCAUAGUUUCGGUCAUGGGACGCAGCCACAAGCUUAAGAGCAUAGAGAAUACUUGCUCAGAUAAAGAUGAAGAUGCGAUGGUGGUGGUAGACGGGAAGAGGGAAAGCUGCCGGAGGUUGUACUCAUAUUCGAUUUGGGCCAUUCCACCGGCUGAUGUUUCUCGUAGAAUCAAGAAGCUGAUGGAGAGCCUCCAGGCAGAGUUUGGUGGGCCGGAGAUUGAACCUCACAUCCCCAUCUUGGGAUCUAUCCAGAUGAUGAGUCGGGAGGAUGCCCUUAACAAGUUUAGAUUUGCUCCUAUGGAUGACAUCGUUGCUAAAGUUGAUCGGGUGAUUACUAAGAAUUACUAUUACCAGUGUGUUUCACUAUUGAUGAAUCGAAAGGUAUAUAUUUUGUCGAUCCCUUGUUAAUACAUAUUCAUUUUCUUGAUGUUUUGUUUUGUUUUGUUUUGUUUCCUUUUCAUCUUUCUCGUUUUGGUUUGAGCUUGAAUAGACUCACUUAUCAUUACACCUUUUCUUAGUUAUUUGAAAAUGCCCAACGUUGGAGCUACCAUUUCGGUUUCUACAACAGUAAGUUGUUGUUUACAGUAACUUAAUUUCUUAAAGUGUUGACGGGAAUGUACGUAUGUAAUCUGCGUGUCUGAAAUAUUUGAUGCAGGUUCUAUGCCAUAUUUGAGUCUCCUCUACGGGAAGUUGACGGAAGAAGAAAGGAAAAAAGCUGGAGAAAUUGUUAAUAUUCUCGACGAGAGCAUUACUGGCUUAACCUUCCCCAUAACUCACUUUGCAUUGUAUGAAAUUGACAACGAUGACAUAUCUCUAAAAUCUUGGACCAAGAUUGCUGAAAUCGGUCGUUAGACAAGUUCUCCGGUUGCAUAUAUAUGCAUAGCACAUUAGCACUUGGCACUACAAAAAAUAUGGGCACUAGGGACUAAAUUAUUUGUGCCCUUUGAGGCCGAAGAGCACCAACAUAUGUGCUCAUAGAAAAACAGAAACAGUGCAGCAACAAUAAUUCUAUGUGUGACCUUUAUGAGUGUGUCCUUUGGUCGAAGGGCACAAUAUAGUUGUUUGUGUUAUUAAGGCAAAGCACAAUAGAGCCUUAUUUGUGACUUCAUUCUGACAGGUCUGACGACCCUUCUCAACUGAUUGGGCACGUCUGUGUAGUCGUGCCCUAUACCAAAUUUAUUUAAAAAGAAUUGAAUUUUUUUUUUCACAUGACUUACAUCCGGGUUCCUGCCCACUCACAUACUAAUUGUAUCGAUCUAUAAUUAAAAAAAACCUUAAACUGCAUCAGUUGAGAAGAAAAUUGAAAAAAAGAAAGAAAAAAAAAAACCUUAAACUCAAAUUCACGAAUUGGGUGAGGUAUUAAGAUUAGAAACAAUAUCUGAAGAGAAAAUAGAAUGAGUUUAACUAGGUAAUAUUAAGCGAAUGAAGUUGUCUAACAUUUUACAAGAUAACAGCAUCUAAAAUCUACCAAAAUUGAGGUCCUCCUAUCUCAACCUCCACAUGAAUAUCAUCAAGUAUUAGCGCCAAUAUAUUUCUCUGGACAACCUCCAUUGCCAUUUUUUCUGCUAGCAUUAUACACAUUAUUGGAAGAAGUAUGUCAACUAGGGUUAGGUUGCAUAUCCAUUGUACAAGUUGUUAACCUAGUCUUAGGGUGAUGUUUUGAUGUACCGUGUAGAAUGGCUGUUUUCUGCCAUCUUUUGCAUUGGUAUCACCAAUAGUUAGUCUCUUGUUGUCACUCCCCUUAAUUCAAGGGAUGUGUAUCUUGUUGAUUUUUAAUUUGUUUGUUAGCUUUAGGCGUAAAUCAAGGAGGGAUACGAGGUCUUGUUCCUACUGUUCACACAUAUAUAUUGGUUAGGUCUCUUGUACUUCUCUUUAUGAUGAAUAUACAACUUACAAAAUACAAUAUGGUAUCAGAGCAAUGAUCGUAACCGGCCUAUCUCUGUAUAUUUUCUUCAGAGUUUUGUGAGCUUAUUCUUUUUCUUCAAACAUGGCUGAAGAGAGCUCAGUGAAUUUAGAAGGUGACAGCUCCUAUGCUGCUCCAUCAUCACCUCGUUCAGAUGUUGAUAUCAACCCAAAUUAAUGCCUUAGUUAUGUCUUACUAAAUGAGUAUAACUACCUUCCCUGGUAGAAAGUAGUUACUCUUGUUAUGGGAGGACGAUCAAAGCUUGGUUAUGUCAAUGGUGUUAUCCCAAUGCCCGAGAUUACCUCACCAAAUUAUGAUGCUUGGCUAUGCAAAGACCAAUUGGUCAUGUCGUGGUUACUCAACUCCAUGGAUCGUAAGAUUGCAGAAAUUUUCAGCUAUGCUGAAUCCUCCAUGACUCUUUGGAAAAAUCUCAAAGUCAUGUACGAAAAUCAAAAUAAUGCGGCUCGUGUAUUUCAGUUGAAGAAGGAUAUUAUUGACUUGCAACAGGAAGGAAAGUCAUUUGUGCAACACCUUGGAAAGUUGACCACCAUGUGGAAUAAGUUGAAUGUGUAUCGGUCACACACCAUCGACACUGUUGUGUUAACUAAGAGAGUUGAGGAAGACAAAAUAUUCCAACUUCUAGCAAGCCUAAGUCCUGAAUUUGAAGAUCUUCGAAGCCAUAUUCUCAUGAAUCCCGACCUGCCUUCUUUCUCAAGUUUGGGUGCCAUGAUUCAAAGAGAAGAAGUUCGCAGGAAGGUCAUGAACUUGGAACUAAAGGCAAAUAUACGUGAAGUUAGGGCCUAUUUUUCUAACCCCAAACUUGGUGAGGAAAGUGGCUACAAAGGAAGGAAAUCUGGCUUAAAAUGUAGGCAUUAUGAUGCUGGUGGGCAUUCAAGAGACUGAUGUUGGAUUCUUUAUCCAGAGCUAAAGCCAAAGUUUCCUAGGGACAACAAGGGAUUCUCUAAGGGCUCACACAACCUUUCUUACAAGGCAAAUCAUGUUGCCACAACUUCUUCUGAGGGAGCACAGAAGUUCACCACUAAUCUGGCCGCACUGAUCAACGAAUUUGCUAUGUUCCUUCACAAGAAACAAGGUCAUGGAGAUAAUGAAGGACCAACAAAUCAGUGUGACAACAACCAAAUUGCCCUAUUAUGACAGUUUGAUGGCUUCCUGGCUGAAAAUGAAGGUGUGGUACAACGAGACAUCCCAAGUAUCCUACACUCCUUCUCAAUUGCUUUCAAAGUUGGUAAUGUGCAUGAUUAUUGGAUUAUAGAUUAUGGAGCCACUGAUUAUAUGACUAACAAGUCUAUAAACUUGCAUAAUUUUGAAAAACUUUCAACUCCAUCUCAAGUGUCAAUUGCCAAUGGCAAUGAUGCUAUGGUUGUAGGAAAAGGGAAAACACAUUUGAUCUCAAGUGAUGUCAAGUCUAAGGCUCUUUAUGUUCCAUCAUUCCCCUUUCAACUUUUAUCUGUUGGCAAGAUCACAAACUUAUUAAUUUUCUUGCUAUUUUCUCUCCAAAAAAUGUUAUUUUUUAGGAUCUAGUCACCAAGAAGACGAUUGUUGAAGGAUUUUUCUUAAAUGGUCUCUACUACAUUUCCAAGCAUAUUCAAGUUCCCAAGGUUUUUCAAGCCACUUCAAGCUUAGUUCAACAACAACAAUAACUUUGGCACUAACGACUAGCAUAUCCUUCUGAAAAAGUCUUAUCCACCUUGUUCCCAAACCUGUGCAAAAUUACAAGUCCUUGUGACGUCUGUCACUUCUCUAAGUUUACUAGAUUACCAUUUACUUCCUCUUUGUCUAGGGCUAGUAAUCCUUUUGAAAUCGUGCAUUCUGAUGUUUGGGGACCAAUUCUAGAGUCUUUUGAAAUAUUUUGUAACUUUUGUUGAUGAUUUCACAAAGAUCACUUGGUUGUACCUUUUGAAAUUUAAAAGUGAAGUGAUGAAUGUUUUUCAAGAUUUUCAUGUACUUGUGACCACACAAUUUGCUUCAAACAUUCAUGUUUUAUGAUCAAAUAAUGGCACUGAAUAUAUGUCCCAUAACAUGUCACAAUAUCUGAGCAUGCAUGGUGUAUUACACCAAACAAGUUGUGUUGGAAUACCCCAACAAAAUGGGGUAGCCGAGAGGAAGAAUAGAGAUCUACUUGAGAAGACUAGAGGUCUUAUGUUUCACAUGAAUGUGCCAAAGAAAUUUUGGUUCCAAGCAGUCCUCAUUGCAGCAUAUCUCAUCAAUAUAUUGCCUAAUAAAGUGUUGAAUUUUAAAUCACCUUAUGAGGUCUUGAAAGACAAAAAGAUCAACUUAUCUCAUUUGAAAGUCUUUGGGUGUACAUGCUUUGUUCACAUUCAAGCACAAAAUCGUGACAAGCUAGACCCAAGGACUGCCAAAUGUGUCUUUCUAGGUUACUCAUCCACCCAAAAAGGUUACAAGUGUUACAAUCCAACAACUAGAAAAAUGGUUGUUUCAAGGGAUGCUAAAUUUGACGAACAUGUUUCUUACUUCUCAUGACCAUUGGAUUACUCUAGAUAGGGAGAGCAUUUGCUAGAUUUAUUCCCAAUUCCAUAUCCAAAUGGAGAAGAUACAACAUGCAUUCCUAGUGAUCAUGUAUUGGAUGUUGCCAAUCGUUUGUGAAAUCCCGUUUCUGGAUUUCACUGUUAUAAUCUACGUAUUUGUAUUAUUGAGAUUUUAUAUUAUUUUUCAAGAAUUUAUUUUAAUUUGUUUGAAUUUAGAUUUUUUUAUUAAACUAGUUACGAAAAGAGAAGUUUGGAAAUUAUUUAUUUAAAACUCGUAGGCAUUUCGAGGUCACAAUUUAUAUCUUUGGAUAGAGCUCGAUAUCACGAACACGAAGACACAAACCGUUCGUGAAACAGAGCUAUAACAAAGAAAUUAGAGACAUUUUGGUAUUUAAAAGAAGAAAAAAAGGACUGGAUGCUGCCCGGUGGCAGCGAGAGAGAGAAGAAGAUGAGGUUGCGGGAGAGAAAAGGAGGGGAGGAGUGACCAAUGGGAGGGGGAGAAAGGAGGGAAAAUGAGAGACCCGAAAUGGGUCAUUUUUGACCCACGAACCACCAUUUUUGAUCCAGCCAUAUCUCCUUCAUUCGACUUCCGUUUUGGGUGAUCUUGGUGUCCAUGGAAAACUCUUGACGAGUCCUACAUCUCUGUAGUGUUAGAUUUCCAUUUUUAUUUUUCCAUUUUUAUAGGUUGAACCAUAAACUGUCAAGGGUUUUCCAACGAGUUUUCUCAUUCUACGGUGAUUCCGACAAUGAUUACCGUCGAUCGCCACCACCAAUAGACUCCCCUCAACCCCUGGAGCAAGUACCAAGCAUUGGAUGAGGCGUUGAAGUUCUUUUUGGUGAUGAAUCGAGGAACACCCAUUUCUAGGGUUUCCGGCGGGUUUGGAUGAAAUUGGGACACUUCCCGGCCGAAUGGGACUUGUCCACAGGUAUGAAAAUUUCUCCCCUAACUGAGAUCUAAUUGUUUAUAAAGUUUGGUAAUUUCCAAAAAUUGUUGAAUUUUCCGGCAAGUCGGGACAACCGAUCGCCACAGGCGGAAGCGUGUGCGGCGGCGCUCUGGCCAGUGGGCCGACGAUAUCAUUCUAAGUUCAAUUAGAUGUCCUGAAUUUGUAUUUGAUAUUCGUAUGACGUAGUUUGAUCAUUUGAACAUAAUUUCACUAUGACACAUUACUUGAUCAAAAUAUGAAUCGACGAUCCGACCGUUGGAUCGUCUCCAAACUUUCAUACAAAAUAGAACGUAAUAUUUGAGGAUAUUAGGAACUGAUGGAUCAGGAAUCCAACGUACGGAUCUUCCCGAAUUGGAUUUCUAAGUUUGUAAAACAAAUUGUUGAUCCCCACCUAAUUCUAGCAAUUGGCAGAUAUCCGACCGUCGGAUCGUGAUGAAAUUUUAAUUUGUUGUUCUAGAAGAAUAAUGUGUGUUUUAGGAAGUUACGGAUCUGAAAUCUUAUGUGAAAAUCUAUCGGAUCAAAUUACGUAGGGUUGUGGGCCCCACCGUUGAUAGAGAGUUGACUUUUGAUCAACAUGUCUCAAAUCGUUUAUAAAACUAAAAUUAGUAUUAAUAGAGGCAUAGUGAGACUAUGUGGGCUUAUCUCGGUGAGUGACUUUAAUAUAUGUGAUAUGGUGAUUACCUAAUUCUUUAUAUUAAUAUCCUUUGUAGAUAUGACUUGAUUUUAUAAAUGUGUUUUAUGCUAAAAUGUGAUUCUUUUAUAAUUGGCCAUCGAUCUAUUUUUAUUAAAUGUGAUUUGAUUCAUGGAUUGGUAAUAUUUGUGAAAAAGUGAUUCGAAUUGCAUAUCGAAAUAUUUGUUAAAUUGAGGGCUAGUAUGGGCUAUGACCCUACUUGGUUAAUCUGCGAUAGGGGGUCACUAGUGAUCCUGCUUGGUUAAUCCGUGGGGGACCAUAUUAUUUAUGGAUCGUGCUUGGUUAAUCCGCGAUAGGCGAUCCUUAUGACCAUGUAUACUUAUGAGUGAUCAUGAUUGGUUAAUCCAUGAUGGGUGAUCGUUGCCUAUGACCCUGCUUGGUUAAUCCGCAAUAAGGGACCAUGGUCCUGCUUGGUUAAUCCGCGAUAGGGGACCAUAUUUUCUAUGGAUCGUGCUUGGUUAAUCCGCGAUAGGCGAUCCUUACAUCUUUGAUAUGGUCAUACACACACACUUGGGGGUGAUCAUGCUUGGUUAAUCCGCGAUAGGUGAUCACAGUCUAACAGAUGCGUAGGAGUGACUCUGCUUAGUUAAUCCGCGAUAGGGGGUCACUACCUACGUGGUUACUGUAGGGGUGGUUCUACUUGGUUAAUCCACGAUAGGGGACCACUUCCUGGUUGGUUACUUAUGUACGCUUCUGCUGAACUGCGUCCCUCUAGCCCUAGUUUUUAAUGUACAUAUGAACAAUGGUUUUAAGAGUCUUGUGGGUUAAGUUAGAAAAACUGUUGGAUGUCUGGGUGACUCCUACUGAGUUUUCAACGACUUGAUUAUGAUUCCAUAAAACAUGAUUAUAUACUUGAUGUUCAUAGAUUGUGAUCGACGGUCUGUUUUAAUUGAAUAUCACAUACUUGUAUUAUUGUCACUCACCCGAGCUUUGCAGCUUAUUCGAGUGUCUGAUUUGCCCAGUGUGCCAUCUCCUUGAUGUAGGCAUGAUUGUACAUAUGACAGGUCUAGGUAGAUUACGAGAAGCAGCUUGGUAUUUUAGUUCCGUUGAGUGGUCCGGAACCCGAGAUUGUUAGAUUUCGUUGAGUGGUCUGGAAUCUUUGCUCUUGCUCAUUUCCAUAAGGUUAGUCUAGAACCCUAGGUUCGAUUGAAUGGGAAUAGAUGUUGUGAAUGUAAAUUAGAAUUACCAUGUUUAUUACUCAUAAUCCAAGUAGGGAAUUAUAUAGAGUUCUUUAGUUAAAUUCGUGAAAUGAUAAGUUAUCGGAUUGAUUGAUUAACAUAAAUAAAUGCUAAGAUCAUGCAUUUUUUAUUCAUGAAUUGAUUAAUUGACGGGGUUGCGGAAUGACUUUGGAUAUGGAUGUUAUUAUUAUGAUUAUUUUAGUUGAUCAAUGUGGCUUGAGAAGAAUAUUGUGCUUUGUCAUUGGUUCUUUGACAUAUUGCAUGGUAUGCAUUGUGGUAUAUUGUUGAGACAUAGCGAUUUAUGUGAUGGAUGUUCGAGUGUAGUGAAAUGACAAACUACGAAUGGCUUGAUCCCUAUUGAGGGUACGUAGGCAGUCUAACGGGAAGUUAGAUGCAGCCAUAAAGUGUACGAAAAAUUACUACGCAAUUCGAGGCUUGGGAUGUGCUUGGUACAUAUCCCGGAGGCGGGUAUGUUAGAUAUACGGUUAUUUGAUGAUGUCACGUGUCGAUCCUGGAUGUAUGUCAGGAUCGGGGCGUGACAUCGUUACUUGGUGCCACAUGAGCAGGAAACUCCUCCAUUAGAGACUCAACUUGCACCUUCCAAUGCUCUUUCCAACCAUGAUAUUAUUCAAUUGCCUGCAGCUCAAUCUCCUCCAGUUCGUCGCAAUCAUGCUCGUGAGAGGAAACUUUCAUCUAAGUUACAUGAUUAUGUGACCUGCAAUGCCAAGUACCCCUUGACUGAUGUUAUUGAUUAUAGCAAAGUCUCACUCUCUUUUGCUGCAUUCCUAAGUGCCAUUAAUGAAGCUCGCGAAUCACAAAGUUUUCAAGAAGCCAAUCUUCAUAGUGAGUGGAGAAUUGCCAUGGCAAAGGGACUUCAAGCUCUUCAUGAAAAUCACACAUGGACCAUAGUAAAACUUCCAAAGAAAAAAAGGCAGUGGGGAGCCGUUAGGUGUACAAGACUAAGUUUCAUUUAGAUGGCACGAUUGAAAGGCAUAAGGCUCGCUUGGUUGCUUGAGGAUUUACACAAACCUAUAAGGGUUGAUUACAAGGAGACUUUUGCUCUCGUAGCAAAAAUGAAUUUGUUAGGGUGUUGUUGUCAGUUGCAAUCAACAAUGUAUGGCCUCUCUUUCAAAUGGAUGUUAAAAUGCUUUUAUGCAUGGUGAACUUGAAGAAGAAGUUUACAUGAAGCUUCUCCCAGGUCAUUCUCAAUCAAAUAACCUAGAAAUGGCGUGCAAAUUUUAUAAAUCCAUCUAUGGUCUCAAGCAAAGCCCACGUGCAUGGUAUGCCAAGCUUAGUCAUGUUCUCGAAAUGGUUGGUUUUUGUCGAAGCACUGCGGAUUCUUCCUUAUUUGUUCGCUCUAGCUCAAUGGGUAAACUCAUUGUGCUAAUUUAUGUUGACGAUCUAAUUGUGACAGGCGAUAAUAUGUCAGAGAUCAAUGCUCUUAAACAGUAUCUCAACAACAAGUUUCAAUCAAAGAACUUGGCACUCUUAAAUACUUUCUAGGAAUCAAGAUGACACACUCUCACAAAGGCUUCUUCCUCAACCAACGCAAGUAUGUUAUUGAUCUUUUUCAUGAAGCAAAUAUGACAUAUUGCAAGCCUGCUCGCACACCCUUGGAUAGCAACUUGAAGCUGAAAACUCAUGGUGAUCCUAUUCCAAAUUUAAGCUACUAUCAAAUAAUGGUUGGCAAACUCAUUUAUCUGACUAUCACACGUCAUGAUAUAUCAUAUGCCGUAAGUUUUGUUAACCAAUUUAUGCACUCUCCAACAAUUGAUCAUUUGAAGAUUGUUCAUUGUGUGCUUCGUUAUCUCAAGGGUUCCGUUGGUAGAGGAAUUAUUAUGCGCAACAAUGGUCACACUCACAUCUCAAGCUAUACUGAUGCUUAUUGGGCGGGAAAUUCUCUCGAUCGUAAGUCUACCAUUGGCUUCUAUACGUUUGUGGGAGGCAACUUCGUUAACUGGAAAAGCAAGGAACAAAGUGUAGUUGCUUGCUCUAGCUCAGAGGCAGAGUAUCGUGCUAUGGCAUCGACCGUUUGUGAACUUAUUUUGCAUCGAAUCUUGUAUUCCAUGAACGAACCAAACACAUCGAGGUUGAUUGUCACUGCGUUCAAAAUCAAGUUCAUUCCUAGGUGAUCGAUACUCACUACACAUGCAGUCAUGAUCAACUAGCGGAUAUUUUCACAAAAGGAUUGACAUUCGCUGUUUUUCUGUGCUUUUUGUUCAAGCUUGGAUUAGUUAACCCCUUUGAUCCAGCUUGAGAGAGUAUUGGAAGAAGUAUGUCAACUAGGGUUAGGUUGUAUAUCCACUGUACAAGUUGUUAACCUAGUCUUAAGGUGAUGUUUUGAUGUACCGUGUAGAGUGGUUGUUUUAUGCCAUCUUGUGCAUUGGUAUCACCAAUAGUUAGUCUCUUGUUGUCAUUCCCCUUAAUUCAAGGGAUGUGUAUCUUGUUGAUUUUUACUUUGUUUGUUAGUUUUAGGUGUAAAUCAAGGAGGGAUAGAACGUCUUGUUCCUACUCUUCACACAUAUAUAUUGGUUAGGUCUCUUGUACUUUUCUUUAUGAUGAAUAUACAACUUACAAAAUACAAUACACAUAAUACGAGAGAGAGAGAGAGAGAGAGAGAGAGAGAGAGAGAGUGAGAAAUGAAGAGAGAAGUGAUGGUGGGUAAAUAAGAGAGAGUGGAGUGGUAAGUGAUUACCCGAACAUUACUAUAAACCAACAGUGCAUGAUGACCAAGUAAAAUAUAAUAACUACCAAGACCAUAACGCAGAGGGGUGCACACAAGGGUUGUCGCACGCAUGCAAAAUAUCCCAUCCAAACAACAACCAGUCAUCACCACAUGCAAUAUGUGUGACACAUUCGGAGAAACCGAAAACGACAUUCAAAUGCGAAAAUUGUGUAAGUCGAUGAAACUGUGACAAACAAGAAGAAAAAUAUGACUUGCACUAACUUGGACUCCAUUUCUAAUUCUACCUGAUGUUUUGAAGACGAAGUUGCAUGUAUUUAUAGUACCUACUAGCAAAAAUGCCCGCGCUCUGCUGCGGGUCUUGAAACCGUUGAAGAUGAUACUAUUGUUUAUUAGCUUUUUUCUCUUUGAAAUUUGGACUGGACACUUGAAUUUCAAAUGGGUUUUUUCUAUUUAUGUUUUGUACUGUGUUUCUUUGUUUGAUUAUACUUUGGGUUAUUGAUUUAGCUUUAUCCAACCUCUAGAGUCUAGAUGGUAGUGAUGAUUCGUUACUCGGAAGCUCUCAUUCCAUAUAUCUCCGCCAUAUUUAUAAAAUCAACAACAACAAAAAACAGAAAAGAAAAGAAAAUACUCCACCAAACAAAAAAUGCGAGACUUCUACGAUCCAAAAGGGCGGAUUUCUAAGUGAAAUGGUGGAAAACAAACACUAAUUUUCAAAGCCUUAACUAAUACAAAUUCGAAACACUUCAUUUUACUUGUUUUCAUUAUUCAAUUUAUAUCCUAAGAAUAAUUACUAAUAGUUCAAAUAUUAAACGUUCCGCAACCAAAAGUAUUGACACCUCAAAAGUUAUGGAAACUCUUAUUUCACUAACAAACACAACAAACCCAGAACACCAAAUUCAGUAUCCAUGCUACUCUCAUACUUUAUGAGCAUCCAAACAGAACCCAGAAUACCAAAUUCAAAACCCCUAAAAUCAGAAAAAUGGCCCCAAAAAAGCCCUUAAUAAACAUACCGAUUUGUUUUCUUUUAUUUUUAAAUCUAGAGUAAGAUAAAUUGCUUACCUACUGGUGGUGCGGCGUGAUAAAUUUACCACUCGAUCAUAAUAAGGGAAAACAAUUAAACCGUAAAAUUAAAAACAAUUAAACCCAGCAAAUUUUCUGUAAUUAAAAAAACACAGAAAACAGUUGGCAACAAAGAUUUAGAGUUAAUUUAUACCAUGGAGUGCCAACUGAUGGACAUAAACAGGAUGCAAAGCGAAAUUUGAAAACAACAAAAUAUUCCAAGAAAAAAAAAGGAACAAAGGUGGAUCAUAUAAGAAUCUUCUUUCUUUAAUCAUAUUGUAUUGCAUUAUUUCAAAAACUAUCUAAUUUCACCCAAAAAAAAUUACCUAGAUCAAAUAUUUCACAAAAAUUAACUCCAGAAGUUACCUUCCAAGAGAUGAGUUGGUAGCUUCUAUCUAUUCGACUUGCAGUGGGUCUGCAAAAAAAAUGUCCUUUAAUGACCCUAGAGGAAGACGGAGAAAAACCCAUCUCUUGAAUACCCUUUCAGCUAAAGCGGUUUCAUUGCAAAAAUCACAAAAUCAACACAAUUUCAACAUAAACUUGAAAUUAAGGAAAUGACUUAACACUAUAACGAUUCGAAAGCAUUGGAAUUUAAAUCACAAUUCUUACAAAUUCAGCUAGAUUAUGACUAUAAUUCGUCAGUAGCUCGACCCCCUCUUGCUCAUACAUGAAUAUCAUCUUUCGGAGGCCAUGGCUGCAACAAAAUAAAAGUACAAUUUUCAUUUCCCACUACCAACUGUGCGGCAGAUGCUCAUGAUCUGGGAAUGAUUCCUCCAGUCAUGUUUUUCUGCCAACAUAUUAAUUUUGCUCAAUGAUAAUGCCAUAAUUGGAAUAUAUUUUUUUUAUAGAAAUGAUGUAAUGGGUUAAUAUGAAAUUCCGAACUUUUGGUGAUGAUUGAACUCUUACAUGACUGCUACUGUACUUGUUCAAAUCAACAUAAUUUUAAACGUUCAGUUGAAAUCUUAUGAAAAUAGAGUAUGGAUUUAUAGCUAACCAAAAGACACAUUCACAGCGCCACAAUAUUUAACUACUAUACACAGUUUUUUUUUAAAAUGAGUAUAAGACUAACCUUUACAGAGCACCUAUGAAUCACUUCCAAAAUGAGAUACACAAAAUCUGAAACAGCACCUAUCCAAAGUUAAAAAACAAAACUAAUUAAAUAACAAUUAGGCAAGAACAACAAAAUGCGACAAACAAAAUGAAAACCAAAAUCAUAUAAGGGUUGAGAAUCUCUAAUUUAUUAGAAUUAGGGAUUCCAUUAAUACAACUAUGUCACUCUAGUACUAAAUUUUUUAUUUGGCCAAAAACAGAAAAAAAAAACUGAAAACACCAACUUAAAAAGAGUAUGCAAAUGAAAAACAUUUACACCCACACUUAUCAAUUUACACAUAACUUUCAAUUUGGAAUCAUUUGGGCUUCCAAAAUUUCAUCACCCAUAAAUUCAUAUAUAUUUCCAUUAAUUCUAUCUCUCUCUCUCUCAAAUUACAAAUCUCAAAAGGCUUCACAAAAAAGUUAGGGAAAGAAGCACACACUCGCAGGAAUAAUUCACUUUCCUUUCCAACUAUCUCUCUCUCUCUCCCUCUCUCUUCAACAUUACAAUUACACACAGAGAUCCCAUUCAAUCAAGACUCACCCCAAAAUUGAUAUCAAGCUCUGUUGCACAGAAUACCUUACAAUUGACAGCACGUUUACAAAGGUUUUGAAAGGCUUAGAUUCAACUUUCAAAUAUGUAAGACUCUAAGCUUCAAAACCAAAACAAACCCAAUUGCACUUUUAGUUCACUAACCCCAUUGAAUAAAAUCCAAUUCAAUAAAAUAACAGAAAAUUAAACAACCCAAAAAUCAAAACAACCCCACUUGUAGUUUUAGCUCACUAAUCCGUUGGAUAAAUUGAUGCAAAAUUCAAUCAGAACAACAACCCAGAAGAGCCAUCCAAAACCCCAACCAAUUAACCAAAAAAUGCCACUUGUACUUUUAGCUUAGUCUUCCGAUUGAAUCAGAUCUAUCAUCAAAUUUCAAUCAGAAAAUAGAAAAUUAAGAACAACCCAGUAUUUCCACUCACCUGCUGUGAAACUUGUCCCUGUUGAGCAGCAGUAGGAACGGGUAAACUGGGUGAUAUAUACAACUGAUUAAAACACUCAAGCUGCUUCAGCUACAUAACAGAAAAUGAAAAAAUGUUAGCACAACAGUAUAAAUGCAGGUAAAGGAGUCAAUAUAUGGAGCAACCAUCUUGCCCUCCCCCGACUGUUUGUCUCUUAAGCUAAAUUGCCAUCCAAAACAAAUAGAACAGACACUCACUUACCCUCUAUUUCUGUAAACGGAUCCUAUAACCGACAUCGAAGCUAAGCAUCUAAAACCCUCCUUAGAAGUUAGAAGUAAAAGUUCUCUACUUUAUGGAAGAAUUAAGCACCUCAAUGCCACUAAAACCAAAUCAUCCUAAUAAUUCACCCUUCAAUUUCAUGCCCGAACAAGAGAACGGAAAUUUAUCACCAUGUUCUUUAACUGAAAAAUAAAAAUUGGGGUAAGCCCAGUUCUCAUUUCUAGCAGAGUUCACUCCAUCUAAAUGCUCAUCCAACAAAAAAAAAAUUGAAAUUCCAGCUUCUUUGUUGCCUCCUAUAUUUUAUUAGCCUUCAAAAAGUCCUUAACUUGGAGCUUUAGAGCUUUGGCUAGGAUUUCAAAACGUGAGCUUGUGAGUGCAUGAGAGAGAGAGAGAGAGGGCAUACCUGACCAUGGGAGAGAACGGAGGCUAUAGAAAGAGCUAUGCUCGGCUUCUCGCCGACUUGCAAAAAUGUAAAAGCACAAACAGAAAGGAGAAUCAAAGACAAAAUUCCAAGAAAAAUUCCAAAAAUUCAAAAUUAUACGCGAGAGAGACACCUUGUUGAUAUUCGGAGUUAGACUCAGAGAGACGAAGCUCCGAGUUACAGAAAUGGAGGCCAGGUUUGUGGGGUUUUGGUUUUCAAAAGCAGGAGCCGACGCUAUUGCAGAGAUCGGCUAGAGUUGGUGUUGUUGCUGCUAGGGUUUGAGAAAGGGAAAUGAAGGCCAAAUGGGUGUGUUUCUGUCUCUCUCCCAUCCCUCUCAAUCUCUCAAUCACCGACACCAAACCUUGAUUUGAGGAGAAAAAAUCAACCCUAACCCCCUUUUUUGGCAGCCUCACUCCUCCCUGUCCCUUUCCCUCCCUGCCAUCCCACGCCUAUCUCCCUCUCCGUCUCUGAAGCCCAUGCCAUUCGAAAAUGGCAGAUAUGUAAAUAAUGCAAAAUCAAGGGCCCAUCUCACAACAAAACUGGCAAAACUGUAAAUAUCUUGAAAUCUGUUCAGAGACAAUAUUACACUCCUAAUUUUAUAUAAUUACCCUCCAACUCAGCCACAGAUAUGAUGGCAGUGGCAUAAAUAAAGCAAAAUCAAAGGGCAAAAGUUUGACUGUAGCUAGAAUAGAUAAUGGGGUGGAGGUUGAGGUGGAGGGGUUAAAAUAAUGAAAGGAAAACUAAUGAAAAAAGUUUGAAAAUUUUGAGUUUUAAUGAUAAGGACAAAAUAAAGGGUAAAGUGAAUAGUACCAGGUUUGACUUUUUAAUGUAAAAAUGUGGUUUUUCGUUAAAGUGAACAGUACCGUAGGCAUUUCGUUAAAACUCUCUAAAAUGAAACGAUCAAAACAGAUGCGAAAUUGGGAAAAACUUAAUUAACAUUCCUACUCCCACUACAAAUGAAAAUCAAUACAAGUCUGCAAUUCAGAAUGGACAAGGAUUCUCUGCACUCCCUUUUUCCAUGCCCUUCCAUGCCCUCCUGUUUGUGUGGUCACGGUUAAGCAACGUCAACAUUUUAUAUUACUAUUCAUUUUUGUCUUAUUAUUUUUAUAAAAAAAAAUAAUAUAAAAUGUUAACGUGGUUUAACCGUAACCACACAAAACAGGAGGGCAUGGAACGGCAUGGAAAAUAGGAGGGCAGACAAUCCUUGUCCAUUCAGAAUAUAACUCGUUACAUAUCACUGUCAAGUUUUCAAUUUAUAGGCAAAAGAAACUGCAUGCAUGUGUAUUGUGUAGAUCGUUUUGAAUUGAAGCCUUUUAUGCUUAUGGUUUUGGGUCUUUUAUCUAACUAUCUAUUGAGGGGAAGCGACACACGUGAACAAGCAAAUGCUAGUAAAUCGUUUUGGGCCUUUUAUCCAACUUUCUAUUGAGGGGAAACAACACAUGUGAUUUAAAUCCUAGGGCCUAGGCUAAUUUAUGAUAGUAUAUACUUUAAAUAAUUUCCUUGAUAUUAAUGGUAUAGGGUAGGUGUAAUCGUGUAAUAAGACAAUCUUAAAUUCUUAAUGGAAAGCGGGGCUGACAAAGAAGAUGCAUAUAACAUACGAGGCCCGCAAACAAAUAAUGAAUGAUAUUGAGUCGACCCAAAUUUGAGGUUGUGGGUUCGAACAAUGCAACUCUCACACUUUGUCGUCUAUCAUUUUAUAUAAAAUUAAGUCAACCCAAAUUUGAGGUUGUGAGAAGAUGCAUGUAACAUCAACACUUAUAUAAUUGAACCUUACUUUCGAAAAUUAAUCAAAGUUUUGGUCUAAAAUCUCAGUCAGUUUCAUGUAUACGAUUUUUUUUCUUCUUAUAAAUCUUAAUUAAAAAGUUAUCAUAAUUUGUUGUUUAUCGUUAGAGGGGGAGCACGAGUAGUGGUGCAGCAUCAAAAUGAAACUGGGACAAGAUAUGUUGGUGAAAAUCCUACUAACUCUGGAUCUCAAAACUCUGAUGCGAUUCAAAUGUGUCUCUAAAUUGUGGUAUGCUCUCUUCAACAAUCCAGGUUUCGUACUACAAAAUGGACUUAUUGUGUCACUGGGUGAUGUCGCUUUAAUAUAAUAUAGUGGCGGAUAAGACAUUUGCGAUACCUACUGAACUUGACGUCUGAUUUACUGUCGCUUGUAAGCGUCAUAAACUGUCUAUGUCGAUCAUCAUGACAUAAGUUUAAACUUUGCCAAUGGAACUCAAAGCUUGCAUGUUAUUCCUUUUACAAAAUCCUCAAUUUUCAUCGAUCAUCAUGACAUAAGAUUUUGUGGUAUCCACUUCUGUAAAUAUUUUAAAUUGACGAUCAAAUUAGUUCAUUGUAUUCAUAUAGGAUCAAGGAGUGUAGCUGUAAAAAAUCACCAAAAUCAGAGUUAAAAUAACCGUUUAAUCGUGAUUUUUCGUUUAUAACCGUCAAAAAGUUUUGUCUCCUUACUUGAUCUCUGAAUGUUUAUUUUUUGCAAUUUUUGGCGUAUGCGAUCUCGAAGCAUAUAUAAACAAGUUUGACGGUUGGAUCGUUGAAAUUAGUUUCGUAGAAUGCGUAUCCCAUCAAAAUGAUAGAUUCAUUAACACUUAAGUUUAUUUACUUUCAUUAAGUAUAACAUAAGAAUUUGUGGUAUCCACUAGUGUAAAUAUUUUAAAUUGAAGAUCGAUCUCAUUCAUUGUAUUCAUAUAGGGUCAAGGAGUGUAGCUGUAAAAAAUCAUCAAAAUCGGAGUUAAAAUCACCGUUAAAUCGUGAUUUUUCGUUUAUAACCGUCAAAAAGUUUUGUCCCGUUACUUGAUCUCUAAAUGUUUGUUUUUUGCGAUUUUUGGCGUAUGUGAUCUCGAAGCAUAUAUAAACAAAUGAUCCCCCUCCGGUGCCUUCUCUUUCUAGGGCUCAACCGACUGCUGAGACUUCUCCUAAGCAACCUUUAUGAAGGCUCCAUCUUGUUUGUUUAUUUUGACUCAUGUAUAUGUACAUAUUUGUAACUUAUCAGAGAUAUCAAUAAAUAAGCUUUGCUUCAUUUCAACGUAUUGUGUUAAAUACACCAAAGCCUUCUUCACUAAGUCUUUGAAUUUUUCUUUUAUUGAAGCUUGUAUGUUGAAGCUUUGUGAGUGGAGCAUGUAGGUUGAGGUAGUGUUCCUUUAAUUUUCCGAGUGAGGAAAACUUCUCGGUUGGAGACUUGAAAAAUCCAAGUCACUGAGUGGGGUCGGCUAUAUGAAUCUUAGAACGCCAUUGUGCUCGGUCCUGUGUCAUGUCCUCCGUUAGAUCCAAGUACUCUAAGUCUUUUCUUAGAGUCUCAUCCAAAGUUUUCCUAGGUCUUCCUCUACCCCUUCGGCCCUGAACCUCUGUCCCGUAGUUGCAUCUUCUAACCGGAGCGUCAGUAGGCCUUCUUUGCACAUGUCCAAACCACCGUAACCGAUUUUCUCUCAGUUUUCCUACAAUUUCGGCUACUCCUACUUUACCUCGGAUAUCCUCAUUCCUAAUCUUAUCCUUUCUCGUGUGCCCACACAUCCAAUGAAGCAUCCUCAUCUCCGCUACACCCAUUUUGUGUACGUGUUGAUGCUUCACCGCCCAACAUUCUGUGCCAUACAGCAUCGCCGGCCUUAUUGUCGUCCUAUAAAAUUUUCCCUUGAGCUUCAGUGGCAUACGGCGGUCACAUAACACGCCGGAUGCACUCUUCCACUUCAUCCAUCCAGCUUGUAUUCUAUGGUUGAGAUCUCCAUCUAAUUCUCCGUUCUUUUGCAAGAUAGAUCCUAGGUAGCGAAAACGGUCGCUCUUUGGUAUUUUCUGAUCUCCGAUCCUCACCCCUAACUCAUUUUGGCCUCCAUUUACACUGAACUUGCACUCCAUAUAUUCUGUCUUUGAUCGGCUUAGGCGAAGACCUUUAGAUUCCAACUCUCCAAAAGUUAAGCUUCGCAUUUACCCCUUCCUGAGUUUCAUCUAUCAACACUAUAUCGUCUGCGAAAAGCAUACACCAAGGAAUAUCAUCUUGAAUAUGUCCUGUCAUCCAUUACCAACGCAAAAAGGUAAGGACUUAAGGAUGAGCCUUGAUGUAAUCCUACAGUUAUGGGGAAGCUUUCGGUUUGUCCUUCAGGAGUUCUUACGGCAGUCUUUGCUCCUUCAUACAUAUCCUUUAUAGCUUGGAUAUAUGCUACUCGUACUCUUUUCUUCUCUAAAAUCCUCCAAAGAAUGUCUCUUGGGACCCUAUCAUACGCUUUUUCCAAAUCUAUAAAGACCAUGUGUAAAUCCUUUUUCCCAUCUCUAUAUCUUUCCAUCAAUCUUCGUAAGAGAUAGAUUGCCUCCAUGGUUGAGCGCCCUGGCAUGAACCCGAAUUGGUUGUCCGAAACCCGUGUCUCUUGCCUCAAUCUAUGCUCAAUGACUCUCUCCCAAAGCUUCAUUGUAUGACUCAUUAGUUCAUGCAAUUUUGUACGUCGCCCUUAUUCUUGUAGAUAGGCACCAAAGUGCUAUUUCGCCACUCAUUUGGCAUCUUCUUCGUUUUCAAAAUCCUAUUGAAAAUGUCAGUGAGCCAUGCUAUACCUGUCUCUCCCAAGACUUUCCACACUUCGAUCGGUAUAUCGUCUGGGCCCACUGUUUUUCUAUGCUUCAUCUUCUUCAAAGCUACAACCACUUCUUCCUUCCUGAUUCGACGAUAAUAUGAGUAGUUUCUACAUUCUUCUGAGUUACUCAACUCCCCUAAAGAAGUACUCCUUUCAUGUCCUUCAUUGAAAAGAUUAUGAAAAUAACCUCUCCAUCUGUCUUUAACCGCGUUCUCUGUAGCAAGAACAUUUCCAUCCUCAUCCUUGAUGCACCUCACUUGGUUUAGGUCCCUUGUCUUCUUUUCCCUUACUCUAGCUAGUUUAUAGAUAUCCAACUCUCCUUCUUUGGUAUCUAGUCGCUUAUACAUAUCGUCAUAAGCCGCUAACUUAGCUUCUCUCACAGCUUUCUUCGCCUCUUGCUUCGCUCUUCUAUACCUUUCAUCAUUUUCAUCGGUCCUAUCCUUGUAUAAGGCUUUACAACAUUCCUUCUUAGCCUUCACCUUUGUUUAUACCUCCUCAUUCCACCACUAAGAUUCCUUUUGGUGUGGAGCAAAGCCCUUGGACUCUCCUAAUACCUCUUUUGCUACUUUUCGGAUACAACUAGCCAUAGAAUCCCACAUUUGGCUAGCUUCCCCCUCUCUAUCCCACACACACUGGGUGAUUACUUUAUCUUUGAAAAUGGCUUGUUUUUCUCCUUUUAGAUUCCACCAUCUAGUCCUUGGGCACUUCCAAGUCUUGUUCUUUUUUCUCACUCUUUUCAUAUGUACAUCCAUCACCAACAAGCGAUGUUGAUUAGCCAAGCUCUCUCCCGGUAUAACUUUGCAAUCCUUACAAGUUCUACGAUCCCCUUUCCUCAUUAGAAGAAAAUCUAUUUGUGUUUUUGACGACCCACUCUUGUAGGUGAUCACAUGUUCUUCUCUCUUCUUAAAGAAAGUGUUGGCUAAGAAGAGAUCAUAUGCCAUUGCAAAAUCCAAGAUAGCUCCCCCAUCCUCGUUUCUCUCCCCAAAACCAUGGCCACCAUGAAAACCUCUAUAGUUGCCUGUCUCCCUGCCCACGUGUCCAUUUAAAUCUCCUCCUAUAAAUAACUUCUCCGUCUGAGCAAUUCCUUGCACCAAGUCUCCAAGGUCUUCCCAAAAUUUCUCCUUCGAACUGAUAUCCAACCCUACUUGAGGUGCGUACGCACUAAUCACAUUGAUGAGUUCUUGUCCUAUUAAAAUCUUAAUUGCCAUGAUUCUAUCUCCUACCCUCUUGACAUCUACAACAUCUUGUGUCAAGGAAUUGUCCACGAUGAUGCCAACACCGUUUCUCGUUCUAUUUGUGCCCGAAUACCAAAGUUUAAACCCUGAGUUUUCUAGAUCAUUUACCUUAAGACCAAACCACUUAGUUUCUUGUAGGCACAUAAUAUUUAUCCUUCUCCUCACCAUAACUUCCACUACUUCUAUAGAUUUUCCAGUUAAGGUUCCUAUAUUCCACGUUCCUAAUCGCAUUCUACUCUCUUAAACUCUACCCUUCUGUCCUAGCUUCUUCACCCUCCCUCGUCUAAUAGGAUCAAAGUACUUCUUUUGUGUGUCCUGUGUAAAGUUGAUAGGAGCAUAUGCUCCCAAACAACUUUGAGUGGAGUCGUUCGAAAAAAAGUUUCUAUGGCCCCCUUGCUCAUUUAACACUGCAUCCGGGUGUCGAUUGUUACAACCACCCCCAAAUAAUUACACCAUUUGUUAUUUCCACCCCCAACUGCCACGUGUCAAUCAUCAAACCUCCCAUCUUUUCCCUUUCUCUGUCCCAUCACCCCCGUGACCUUCUUCUUCUCUGUCCCUCUCAACUCCCCCGUAGCUCUCUCUCUCUCCCUCUCUCUCUCAGCUCUCCCGUACCUCUCUCCCUUAAACUCUCACAUAUCUCUCUUCCCGUGGACUCACUAGGACCGAGUCACCAUCGAAGAGAGGCUCGCAACGAGCCCAGGACCCUACCCUGUGAGUUCGACGACACGGAGCGAGCUUCGGCGAGCACCGCCCCUUUCGAGGCCAUUUCUGACCAAACCACGGCGAGUUGGCCGGCGUGUAAGGUAUUAAUCUCUUCGUCUCCCUGACUACUACAAUUUUCCUUUUUGUUUCACCCAAUUUCGUUGAGUAGUGACAAAGUUAUAGCCAUUUAAAGUUGGGUGGUUUUCCGGCCGAAUCUCCGGCCUUCUCUCUCGGCAAACCAAGGCCAGCCAGCCUUCCCAUUCCCUUCCCUCGGGCCUUAAGCCCAUUAAACCCCAACCCUUUUCUUUUCUUUUUAUUAGCUUAUUGUUUUUAAAACCCAAAAGGGCCUUGGGCCGGUGACAUUUAAAGGGCUUAAAGCCCAGCCUUUUAUUUUAUUGAGGCUUUAAGGCCUUUGUGACUUUGUACCCGUGUGUGUGUGUGUAUGUUUAGGUGUAUGUGUGUGUGUGCUUAUGCAUGCACAUGCAUGCCGUGUGUGUGUGUGUAUAUUUGUAGUGUGUGUGUUUGGGCUAAAGCCCAAACCCCAAUUCUCACCCUAAAAUCAUUUUAACCCAAAACCUUAGAAUUCCAAAACCCAUUAGAUCCUAAUCCUAUUUAACCUAAACCCUAAUCCGGAUUUCAAGUCUAAAACCCGUUUGACCUAGUUUGACUGUUGACCCCCGAUCAACGUUGACUUUAGGGUUGACUUUUCGGGUUUUCGUCCAAGACCUUUCCUAAGCUAAAUUCGACGUUCUGAAUCCAUUUGUGAUGUCCGUUUUCCCAAAUUCAAUCGUUUAAGUAGAGUUUGACUAAAUGUGCUCUUUAUGUGAUUAGGGGCAAUUAUAGUGGCGUUUCCGUCUUCGCUAGUGGCACAGCUUUUGGCAACUAAGUACUGUGAGUAGACCCCUUCUAAAAUUACAUGAUUUUAUAAUUUAAUUGCAUAAAUGAUUAGCAUGCCUACGAGUUUAUGACUUGAUUUAUGUGAAGCCUGUUUAUUAAAUAUAUUGAUUUUCGUCUCGUAUUUUUGGUAAGGAAUUAAUUGUUAGCCUAUAUUGAGCUAUAUUUUGAUAUAUUGUAUUUUCUAUAAAAACCAUGAAUUGGUAGACUAUCCGAUGGAUAACGAUAGGAUGCUAGAACAUGUUUUUGAAACCCCUCUUUAUAGUAUAGACGAUGGAUGACUUUAUACUAUGAAGUGGAUAUUUCGAGAGAUGCGUAACUAUUUGUGCGUGCCUAGUAGACACUAUGCCGCCUGGGGCAAGGAUCUGGUGUUGGCAAUUAGGCCGGGAGAAAUAAUCCCUAGCGAAAGGCAGAGGGACACGGUGACAGGCACUGGGCCGGGAGGGAGUUAUCUCUAGCUACGGGCACAUAGACUUAGGUGCAGGCAUUGGGCCGGGAGUUAUAUUUAUUCGGUGAUCUUUCUAGCAGCACACCGCGUUUAUGAGACGAUUUAUGAGACGUUUACUGUUUUGAUUUCCGCGAUGUUAUUCCGCGAUAUGACUUUUUGAGAUACUUUGGCAUGCUAGGGUUUUUAUUAAAUCCAUCACUUAUUAUGCUAGUAGUUUUCAUUAUUAAACUGUGGGGGUUAUUACUUUGAUAGCUGUUUUAUUAUUAUAUAUAUGAACUUGGUCCACUCACCUUUGUUUUGCGCCCCCAUUCAGGACUUAGAAUCAAGGCACAUAAUCUCGGCGUCAAGACACUUCCGCAGCAGCAUAUUUGAGUCCUCUCGAUGUAGGACCCACUUCUUUAUUCAUUCAAUUUUAUCUUAAUUCUUUUUAGUGAUUAGGUUAGUUGUAUGCUCUGAGCACGUUCCUAAAAUAAAUUAUUUCAUUGUAUUUUAAAUUCAUAACCCUUAUUUAUUUCUUAUUCUUAGCUUUUGUAUCAAUUAAUGGCUUUCGUCACCUUCGGGUGUCGGCCAACACGUGUCUAUCCUGGUAUUCGGGGAAUAUCAGGGUCGGGGCGUGUCACCGAUGGAGAUACAGCGACCCUUACUCACUUAUCACUGUGCUCGGGCCACACAGCGCGCCACUUACGGGUGACGCCCUAGCUUUAGCACAAUUUCGUUCUGAAUUCAUUUUCAUAAGGAUUCGACAUAACCGAGGAGUGCCGGCUGUCGACUACCUGACGCCCUCCCCCUCCUCCUUUAUCCGGGCUUGGGACCGGCAAUGUAAGAUAAACUUACACAGGCGGAGUUGCCACAGAAUCUGAGCAUGAACCAAAAAUCAUAAAAAUAAACAGAAGCAACAUAACAACAGCUUCUUGCUGUCAGAGAAACAUGGAAUGAAUAAACGGAGGAACAAACCCGUAUUUCAAUGUUAUGAGACUACUUCAGAACAGUAAACAUACAAUAUAGCAAACUGUCAAGUACCACGAAAGAGACAAAAAAUAGGAUCUCAUUCUUUCAAUUGUAUUUAAUUACGGAAAGGUCUAAUUAUGUCGUUGAUGCAUCCCUUCACCACUGUAAUGGUAACGACCGCAAUCUUUCAUAAUACGCAUCCCACCAUCUAGUCCUUGGGCACUUCCAAGUCUUGUUCUUUUUUCUCACUCUUUUGAUAUGUACAUCCAUCACCAACAAGCGAUGUUGAUUAGCCAAGAUCUCUCCCGGUAUAACUUUGCAAUCCUUACAAGUUCUACGAUCCCCUUUCCUCAUUAGAAGAAAAUCUAUUUGUGUUUUUUACGACCCACUCUUGUAGGUGAUCACAUGUUCUUCUCUCUUCUUAAAGAAAGUGUUGGCUAAGAAGAGAUCAUAUGCCAUUGCAAAAUCCAAGAUAGCUCCCCCAUCCUCGUUUCUCUCCCCAAAACCAUGGCCACCAUGAAAACCUCUAUAGUUGCCUGUCUCCCUGCCCACGUGUCCAUUUAAAUCUCCUCCUAUAAAUAACUUCUCCGUCUGAGCAAUUCCUUGCACCAAGUCUCCAAGGUCUUCCCAAAAUUUCUCCUUCGAACUGAUAUCCAACCCUACUUGAGGUGCGUACGCACUAAUCACAUUGAUGAGUUCUUGUCCUAUUAAAAUCUUAAUUGCCAUGAUUCUAUCUCCUACCCUCUUGACAUCUACAACAUCUUGUGUCAAGGAAUUGUCCACGAUGAUGCCAACACCGUUUCUCGUUCUAUUUGUGCCCGAAUACCAAAGUUUAAACCCUGAGUUUUCUAGAUCAUUUACCUUAAGACCAAACCACUUAGUUUCUUGUAGGCACAUAAUAUUUAUCUUUCUCCUCACCAUAACUUCCACUACUUCCAUAGAUUUUCCCGUUAAGGUUCCUAUAUUACACGUUCCUAAUCGCAUUCUACUCUCUUGAACUCUACCCUUCUGUCCUAACUUCUUCACCCUCCCCCGUCUAAUAGGAUCAAAGUACUCUUUUGUGUGUCCUGUGUAAAGUUGAUAGGAGCAUAUGCUCCCAAACAACUUUGAGUGGAGUCGUUCGAAAAGAAGUUUCUAUGGCCCCCUUGCUCAUUUAACACUGCAUCCGGGUGCCGAUAGAGAUACAGCGACCCUUACUCACUUUUCACUGUGCUCGGGCCACACAGCGCGCCACUUACGGGUGACGCCCUAGCUUUAGCGCAAUUUCGUUCUGGAUUCAUUUUCAUAAGGAUUCGACGUAACCAAGGAGUGCCGGCUGUCGACUACCUGACGCCCUCCCCCUCCUCCUUUAUCCGGGCUUGGGACCGGCAAUGUAAGAUAAACUUACACAGGCGGAGUUGUCACAGAAUCUGAGCAUGAACCAAAAAUCAUAUAAAUAAACAGAAGCAACAUAACAACAGCUUCUUGCAUUCAGAGAAACAUGGAAUGAAUAAACGGAGGAACAAACCCGUAUUUCAAUGUUACGAGACUACUUCAGAACAGUAAACAUACAAUAUAGCAAACUGUCAAGUACCACGAAAGAGACAAAAAAUAGGAUCUCAUUCUUUCAAUUGUAUUUAAUUACGGAAAGGUCUAAUUAUGUCGUUGAUGCAUCCCUUCACCACUGUAAUGGUAACGACCGCAAUCUUUCAUAAUACGCAUCCCAUCAUACAGAACCAGCUAAAUAUUAAGUCAAGAAGUUUCUACGUUUUGUGCAUGGCAGGAACAAAUUUCAUGGUCCAAACACCCUACUAUCCCAACAAUGAGAAACACAAACUAGCGAAAUGCACCAAUUAUAAAUAUAUUUUUGGACCGGAAGGAGAAUUCGAUUCUCAUUAGGCAAAACUAAACUAACUAAGAAACUGAAAUACGAAAACUUGUAAACCAAAAACACGAAAAGCGAAAAAAUAAUGAGCAAUAAUCCAAGAUUUAAUAUCUAAGCAUGCAUGUUAUGUAGAUUUAAUAUCUACAUAAAGCACCCCAUCUCGCAAGGCCAAGCUUAUUCAAUCACAACUGUUUGUUGGGAUUUUUUUUUACUUUUUUCUAUUUUUAUUUCUUGUGGGAAUCGCAUCAAACAUUUUAAAUAAAUAUAUUAGCCUUGAUAGAAAAACAGAGAGUGCUCCAAGGCACCAAAAUUUCUACCACUGCUCCACCCAUAAGCACUUAAGUAUACACAAAGAAAGAACCCACCACAUCUCCUCAAAUCUCCCUCUCAGAAACUUUUUCCAGCAUCACCCUAAUACAUUUAGAGCCACUCAAAUGAAAAGUUAAAACAAUUUUAGAAUUAAAACAAAAAAUCUCAUGACCUUUCCUUUGACAACUCUGAUAGUUUGAGUGUAUAAUGACGUAAAGACGUUGCAAGAAUGCCAUGCGCAAUUCUGUGUAUAUGUGAGCAGUGUAAUACUAUUUAUAUGUGUGUGUGUGUGUGUGAUAAUGGCACUGAUCGAACUUGCCCGACUGGAAUUGCAGCAACGCAUCCUGCGCAAAAGCUCGGGUCACGGACAUGACGGCUUCGUCCUCGGCAGCUGAAGCAGAACCGUGCCGAUUCGCAGCCGUUGAUGACGGAGACGAAGACGAAGACGAAGCCAUCGGCGAAUCGAUCAAUCAGAGCUAGGAACCAAUAAGCCUUAUCUGAAUACACAAAUCCCCAAGAAGAAAUGAUCCAAAACAACGAACCCUAGAGGGUAAAAGGUGCGUUUUGGGGAUUGAUAUGAAGUCGGAGUUGGGGGCUUUGGGGGUUUUCGAACCCUAAGGGCACGUUUGUUUGACAGGAUUAGCAAGGCUUGGACUGGACUAAACUAUAGUCCUGUGUUUGGUGUGCAACCGGAUUAGCUUUAAUGAGCUUAACCCGGACUCGCUUGGACUAAGGACCUCCUUAGGUGGUCUUCGCGAGCAACCCCAAAACCCAGCGGAUUCGUAAGCUAGAGCAAACCGAGAGAGUUUCUGCCUUCCCUUCGUCCUGUCUUCCCUUCGUCCCUUCGUCCUGUCUUCCCUUCGUCCUCAUCUCUACGUUCCCUCUCAUCUUCGUUGCCGUGCUCUCUCAUCUUCGUCCUCCUCACCCUCAUCUGAGCGUCUUCCUGUCUCUGCAUCUGCUUGCCUCAUCUGAGUUGUACGGUAAACUUUGAUUCUUCUAUUAAUUGCAUGUAUUUGUGUUGCAGAUGGUAAUUUUACUGAGUUUUAUGUGAUUUGAUUGUUUUGGGUUUGAUAAUUUUUGAAUCAUAGAGAUCUGCACUUGAAUAAAUUAGGGUUUUGAUAUUUAGGUGAAAUUGAAAUUAGGAUUUGGGCUUUUCAUAAGAUGAGAUGGAACUUGGGAAUUUAGGAUGUCAAUGUUGUAAAACUUGGAAGUCCUACCCACAUGUUGUUUUCGAUUUUUAAAAAUUGGGGUUUCAACAAUGGGAGUACUAUGUGUGUGUGUGUGUGUGUGUGUGUGUGUGUUUCUGUGUGUGUGUCUGUGUGUGUGUGUGUGUGUGUUUCUGUGUGUGUGUCUGUGUGUGUGUGUGUGUGUGUGUGUGUUUCUGUGUGUGUGUCUCUGUGUGUGUGUUUCUGUGUGUGUGUCUCUGUGAGUGUGUGAGUGAGUGUGUGUGUGUGUGAGUGUGUGUUUGUGUAUGUAAGUUCUCCGUGUGUGUGUGAGUGUGUACUGUGAGUGUGAGUGUGUGAGUGUGUGAGGGUGUGUGUGUGUGUUUGUGUACUCAUUAACGUGGGGGGGGGGGGUGUGUGUGUGUUUGUGUAUGUAAGUUCUCCGUGUGUGUGUGAGUGUGUGAGUGUGUACUGUGAGUGUGAGUGUGAGUGUGUGAGUGAGUGUGUGUGUGUGUGAGUGUAUGUUUGUGUGUGUUUGUGUAUGUAAGUUCUCCGUGUGUGUGUGAGUGUGUACUGUGAGUGUGAGUGUGUGAGGGUGUGUGUGUGUGUUUGUGUACUCAUUAACGUGGGGGGGUGUGUGUGUUUGUGUAUGUAAGUUCUCCGUGUGAGUGUGAGUGUGUGAGUGUGUACUGUGAGUGUGAGUGUGAGUGUGUGAGUGAGUGUGUGUGUGUGUGAGUGUAUGUUUGUGUGUGUUUGUGUAUGUAAGUUCUCCGUGUGUGUGUGAGUGUGUACUGUGAGUGUGAGUGUGUGAGGGUGUGUGUGUGUGUUUGUGUACUCAUUAACGUGGGGGGGGUGUGUGUGUGUAUUGUGUGUGUGUGUUUGUGUAUGUAAGUUCUCCGUGUGUGUGUGAGUGUGUGAGUGUGUACUGUGAGUGUGAGUGUGUGAGUGAGUGUGUGUGUGUGUGAGUGUGUGUUUGUGUGUGUUUGUGUAUGUAAGUUCUCCGUGUGUGUGUGAGUGUGUGAGUGUGUACUCUGUGUGUGUAAGUGUACUGUGUGUGUGUGUGUGUGUGUGUGUGUGUGUGUGUGUGUUUGUGUACUCAUUAACGUGGGGGGGGUGUGUGUGUGUGUUUGUGUACUCUGUGUGUGUGCAGUGUGUGUGUGUAUGCAAUAUGUAUGCAGUGUGUGUAUGCAGUGUAUUCAGUGUGUAUGCAGUGUGUGUGUGCAGUGUGUGUGUGCAGUGUGUAUGCAGUAUGUAUGCAGUAUGUAUGCAGUGUGUGUGUGUGCAGUGUGUAUGCAGUGUGUGUGUGUGCAGUGUGUAUGCAGUGUGUAUGCAGUGUAUACAGUAUGUAUGCAGUGUGUGUGCAGUGUAUGUAUGUAUGCAGUGUGUGUGUGUGUGUAUGCAGUGUAUGCAGUGUGUGUAUGUAUGUAUGCAGUGUGUGUGUGUGUGUAUGUAUGCAGUGUGUGUGUGUGUGUGUAUGUAUGCAGUGUGUGUGUGUGUAUGCAGUGUGUGUGUAUGCAGUAUGUAUGCAGUGUGUGUGUGUGUGCAGUGUGUGUGUGCAGUGUGUGUGUGCAGUGUGUAUGCAGUAUGUAUGCAGUAUGUAUGCAGUGUGUGUGUGUGCAGUGUGUAUGCAGUGUGUAUGCAGUGUAUGCAGUAUGUAUGCAGUGUGUGUGCAGUGUAUGUAUGUAUGCAGUGUGUGUGUGUGUGUAUGCAGUGUAUGCAGUGUGUGUGUGUGUGUGUGUAUGCAGUGUAUGCAGUGUGUGUAUGUAUGUAUGCAAUGUGUAUGUGUGUGUGUGUGCAGUGUGUGUGUGUGUGUAUGCAGUGUGUGUGCAAUGUGUGUGUAUGCAGUAUGUAUGCAGUGUGUGUAUGCAGUGUAUGCAGUGUAUGCAGUGGGAAGAGGAUGCAAAUGGUAACUGAAGCUUUAGUUCAAGGUACUACAGAUCAUACUGACAUAGCUAAUGAACUUGAAGCAAUGGGUCUCUCUCCUAUAGAUCAAAUUGAUGCAUUGUCUCUUAUUUUGGAUAAACCAAAAAAUGUGGGAGUGUUCAGGGCAAUCAAACCGGAACUCAAGAAAGUGUUCGUCCAAAGGCUUUUAAGCGACAACGCAAGUGGAUGAGGAUUUUGGCUAAUGUUAACAUGAAUGUAUUUUAUUAAUGUUAACAUGGAUGUAUUUUAUUAAUCAUACAAUCUUAUGUUAUGGCUUAUAACUUAGCUUUGCACUAGUAUUUUGGCUUAUGUUAACUAGCCCGUUUGUAAAUUAUGGAGAUCUAUUUUGGCUAAUGUUAACUAAUGUUAACUAGGAUUUUCUAAAUUAUGGAGAUCUUCUUAUGUACUUGUAUUUGUUGAAGUUGCAUGUAUUGGGCACUAUUAUUUUUCUUCUGUUGGGUGAUAGAGUUUAAACCAAGCUACAUUUGCAAAUUAAACCCAAUUCUAUUAGCAGGUAAUAGAAACAAAACAAUUGUCAAUUUUUUUUAAAAUUCAUAAUAUACAUGGCAAAAAUAUGCUCCAAUUAACCCAUAUCAUGAGAUUUGUAGCAUUACUCUAUUACACAAUGGCAAAAAUUUGUAGUCCUAGUCUAAGCAAACACAAAUCUGGUGAACAGUACUGUUUUUCUUAUCCUGCUUCUUAGUCCGACAUUACACCAAACGCUUCACUAAGUUAGUCCAGCUUAGUCCAGUCUAAGCCAGUCCAGCUUAGUCCCGGCAGCUAGUCCAGUCCGAGACAGUCCGGCGCAACAAACGCACCCUAAGAGGUUUGCAAGAGAGGACACCUGUUCGAGCGUCUUUUGCUCGAAUGUGCUGAUUUGCAGAGAUAGUGGGGAGAGAGAGAGAGUAGAAAAGGAUACGACCGAGAGGGAGAGAGAGAGAGUAGAAAAGGAUACGACUAAGAGAGAGAGGGAGAGCGAGCGAGCCAGCGAGCCAGCGAGAGCAGUUGUUUUGGGGCUUUCUUAGGUUGCUGGGUAUGGGAGUUUCGACAGGGGGUGUUUGCUGGGUGCACGCAACAAUUGGGCUUCUUUUCUGUGCUAAAUGGGCCAUGGACUGACAUUCUUUGUAAGGUGUGAUUAGAAUUUUGUGAUGAUCUUGCUGUGUUUCAUGUUUUGUUUGAUUUAGUAAAGGGGUGUGUUAAUUUAUGUCAUUUGGCAUUCUUUAAUUCAUUCGAUUCGACAACCACAAAUUAAGAAGUUGUGUAUCAAGGAAAAUGGGGUGUGCCUUUGUUAAUGGUGGGAGUUACGUUUUCAGAUUGUAUGAACAUUUGGAAAGCUGUUUUUGGACGCACCAGUGUGUGCUUUACAUAAUGAAAUAAUGAUAUUAACAUGCUAUUUUUAGAAUUAUAAUUAGACUUGUCAAGUGGGUACCAUGUUCAAUUUGGAACUGGAUCCUCUCCUGAGCUGAGGAUGAGGAUCCUCAUGAGCAGCCCAUCUGGGCCGUUCAAACUUGAUCCAACGACUAUAAUUAUUAUAACUUUUAGAGGGAUCCCCUGUUUAGAGUUGUUGGAUCAAAUUUCAUAGGCUCAGAUAGGCUGCUCAUGAGGAUCCCUAUCCUGAGCUCAGGAAAGAUCCAGUUUUGUUCAAUUUCACCCAUAAGGAAACCAAAAUUUAAUAUUAGUGUGGGCUCUAGUCUACAAAGUAAUCUUGUACCAUAAUUAAUAUAAUACAGAAAACAUAAGUAAUUCAGUUAUGUACAUAACAUAUGGCCAGCUCAAACAUUUGGGGCUCUACAUUUCUUUACACAGGAAACUGUCAAAGUAGAAGCUGAGAGUACUGAGACAGCCAAACUAUCCCUUUCUAAACAGCUCCAAGAUGCACUCUGCAUUCCGGAUAUCUUGGUUGUCUUGCGUAUCCUCGUUCCCCUGCGAAAAAUCCAUGCUUGUGAAAGUCUGGAUACCCGGGCCGUGACCGCUACAAUCCAUCUCCCUUCCUUGUUGUGCUCACCUUACUUCCUUCUGAUGCUCAGUUACUUCCAACCUUUUCCUUUUCAAACUCGAACAUGGAGGCAUUGCUUUGAGCUCACCGCCUAUCAUGUCCUCUUGCAGUUCUACUCUUUUUGAGCAUCUGUUAUGGGUGGCAUUGACCCUGUAUCUUGGUGGAGCGGUAGCGGAUCCCGGUCUAGAUUGACAUCUUUGACGUGGUGGGCUUCUCUUAUGGGGGCUUAUUAUUCCAUUUCUCCAGAGCUUGUCUAAGACAUGACGUAAGGUCUGGGGGGUAAUCCAACUCAGUUUGUUCGCCAUAUGUGGAAUUCCAGAAAGUGAUGGUUGGAUUUGAAAUGGACAGGUUUGGGUGAUCAAGAGUUUUUGCAAGGAUGGGUGCUUGGAGUUUGAGAAAUGCAGAGUCAAAGAUUAUUGGAGGCUAACUCCUCCUUAAACAAUUAAGCGUUUCUGCCCACAGGAGUUGAAAUUGAUCGCUGGUGUUCUCAUCUUGUGUUUCCAUGAGUACCAGCCACUAAAGCAGUGGAUCAAAUACUAUCUGCAAGUACAUGAACGCUUUAAACCAACAUUAACAAUAUUUUAGCUAUGCAUUUACACAAUGAACAAUCAGGAAACUUGAAAUAACAGAUGAAACGGCAAGAAAUUUCAGUAUCUCGAUCACCAACUCCGACAGAUAAGGACAACGCUCUCGCUUUCCUAUGAUGGUGUUGAGAGUGUGUAUGACAGUAUGAGUAUAUUCUGAAAAUGAUUGAUGUUACUGGAAAACUAAAAACACUAGAGGUACCCAUAUCUGAAACUUUCCUUGUGCAUGUUAUUAUGAAUUCACUCCCUGAUACAUAUACUCAACUCAAAGUGUCUUACAAUGCUUUACGUGAGAAAUGGGAUGUCAAUGAGUUAAUCUCCAUCUGUGUAAGUGAGAAGGUUAGGAUGAAAAAGGAGAAAAUGGACAAAGAAAAGGGUGAAAUGCUUAAUUUUGUUCAAAGCAACAAUAAGGAUGUCAAGGCAUCAAACUCGAAUGCCAUCAGGAAAGAUCAUAGUAGAAAUGUUCACUCGUCUUCCAAGGGGUUUUUUAAACCUAACAGACCUUUGGUUUUCAAAUGUUACUUUUGUAAAAAGGCCAGCCAUAUGAAGAGGAGUUGUCCUAAAUAUAAAGCAAGGCUUGCUAAACAAAAAGCUAAAAAGGCUAAAAAGGUUUUUGCUUGUUUUGAAAGUAAUUUGAUUGAUAUACCUAGUAGUGCUUGGUGGCUUGACUCUAGCUCUUCCGUUCAUGUUACGAACUUAUUACAGGACUUCAUAACAAGGAGAAUUCCAAAUAAAGAAGGUAUUCGUUGGCAAUGGGAGAAGGGUUGAAGUCAAGGCUCCAGGCACAGUUAGGCUUAAUUUGGAUUUUGGUUUUCAAUUAGAUUUGGAAAAUGUCGUUUAUUUACCUUUGAUGAGAAUGAAACUUGUUUCAAUUUCAAGAUUAGUUUUGUUAGGGUUUUAUUUUACUAUGAAUAAGUUUGGCUUCAAUAUUUUUUAUAAAUUCUUCCCAUAUUGGUACUGGAUUUUUGGUUGAUGGCAUGUUUCAGUUUUCACUUAAGAAUAAUCAAGUUAUAUUUAAUAUUGAGAGCAAAGAAACAAAAUCACUUUAGUCGUCGAACUUAUGGCAGAAAAGGCUUUUUCAUAUUUCAAAACCAAGGAUGGAACUCUUAGUGAAGUGAAAUCUUGCCUCCAUUAAAUUUUAAUGAUCUUGAUAUUUGUGUGGAGUGCAUCAAAGGAAAAUUCACUAAGUCUAGGAAGGAAGGUUCCACACUAAGCAAACAACUUUUGGAACUCAUUCAUAGGGACAGUGGAUGGCAGAAAGAAGAAAUAGUACACUUCUUGACAUGGUUCGAAGCAUGAUAAGCAAGGUAAAACUCCCAGAUACUGAAGAUAACGAGUUACAUUCUUAAUAGGGUUCAUAGCAAAACUGUGGAAAAGACUUCUUUCGAGUUAUAAACUGGGAGAAAGCCUAGUUUAAGACACAUUCAUGUCUGGGGUUGCCAAGCAGAGGCAAAGAUCUACAAUCCUAAUGGUAAGAAAUUAGAUUCCAAGACCAUCAGUUGUUACUUCGUGGGUUAUGCAGACAGAUCCAAGAGUUAAAGAUUUUAUUACCCUAAUUACAGCAUGAAAUUCGUUGAGACUGCAAGGGCAAUCUUCUUGGAACACACUAAAGGUAAUGAUGACUUUACUUCCAAUCCAAACAAGUUCGUGUUCGAGGAAGGAGAAGAUGCGGUUAUCGAGAAUGGGGUAGAGAUUGAAUAUUAUAAUAAAAUGACUAUCGUGGUUGAUAUUCCUAGGCAAAUGACUGAUAUUAAUGUUGAUGACAACCAUGAAGAUCAACUACACAAUAAUUAUGAAUAAGGUCAAAAUGUAGAGGUUCAAAAUGAGAUUGAAGUGCAUGCAAUUGUCACCAAUGAAGCAUAACCAAUCAUGCAGCAUGCACAACUAAUCAUACAACAAGCAUAAACAUUAAUGCAACAACCUACUAUUCCAUUGAGAAAAUCAACUAGGGUAAGAAAGUCUAACACUCUAGAAGAUUUUGUUUAUUUUGCUGAAAGUGAAUCACACUUGUCAGAAUUCGAAGACCCUAAUUCAUUCAAGGAAGCCAUGACUAGUGGCAACUCCGACAAGUGGAUUGAUGCAAUGAAAAAUGAAUUGAGUUAGAUGGAAAACAACAAUGUUUGGGAAUUAGUAGAACCAUUUCAGGGCAUCAAACCGAUAGGGUGUAAGUGGGUGUUUAAGACAAAAAGAGAUUCGAAAUGAAGCAUCGAAAGGCAUAAGGCGAGGCUAGUUACAAAGUGAUUUACUCAAAGAAGGGGUUGAUUAUAAAGAAACGUUCAGUCCGAUAUCGAUGAAGGAUGCAUUCAGAGUUAUUAUGAAAAUGGUGGUGCAUUUUGACUUGCUUUUACAUCAAAUGGAUGUAAAAACAGCCUUCUUAAAUGGUGUUUAGAAGAAGACAUAUACAUGGCUCAACCAUAGGGUUUUAUGGAGGAAGGGAAAGAACACUUAGUUUGUAAAUUGAAGAAAUCCAUGUAUGGAUUAAAGCAAACGUUUAUUGAAGAAAUCCAUUUAUGGCUCAACCAGUGGUACUUAAAAUUGUAAGAAUAAGGUUGAGAAUUAGACAGAAAAAUGACUUUGAGGCACGUUAAUACGUUUUCCUUAAAAUGAUAUUUGCCCCCACUCUAAUAUGAGUUUGCUAACGGGUCUAAAGCAAAUCACUUCCAGGAUACAACAAAGUUUGGAAUUUUAGUUUAGCAAGAACUGAAAUUCCCUUAAAAUCUUCUAAAAGGAAACUGUAUGAUUUUGAUGGAGAGAAAGAUGAUAAGAAACUAUUAUUUGAAUAAUUGUAUAUGGGAAUAUGCAGCCAACAUGGGCUAUAUAUAGAUUAUAUGGUGCCCGUUGAACUUAGUUCAAAGUGUGCAUAGAAAAGUCACUUCCUUUAACUAAAGUGUGUGAAGAUCAAAUAGAUCUUUCCAGCAUCCUUUCAUUCUUACCGAAUGAAUGAAAGCCUGCUGCCUUUUCAUAUAAGUGUCUUUCACCAAAAAAGGCGUAACAUUCUGAUUGAAUGAUCCAAGGGACAUAUCCCUUGUUGUGCUACGGAACUGCAGCCGUGCUUCUUCAAUCCAAGGGACACGACAUGGCACUGCAGCCAUGCUUCUUUAAUUUCAGAGACACGCCAAUUCAAAGGCACGGCCUGCAGCCAAAAGGCAUAUCACUGCCAGCCUUUCGCCCUUUAUCCCACUGUCAACACCAUAUAUAUAUAUAUAUAUAUAUAUAUUCAAUUCCAAGAGACAUGGCAUUGCAGCCAGUCUCUCACACAACAUCAUAUAUAUAUAUAUAUAUAUAUAUAUAUAUAUAUAUAUAUAUAUUAAUGAAAUACACCAACAAAAAUUUCAUCGAGUAAUAAGGGAGCAUGGUUUUUUUGAGAAUCCCUCUUAUGCAUGCAUUUACUUGAAAAUUCGUAGGAUCAACUUUAUUAUUUUGGUGUUCUACGUAGAUGUCAUUUUAUUGGCCACGAGCAGCAUGAGUCUCUUAGAUGACACCAAGUUUUUCAUGCAAAACCAUUUUGAAAUGAAGGAUUUGGGUGAGGCUGCAUAUGUUUUGGGUAUCGAGAUUAAAAGGGACAGGAAGUGAGGGUUACUAGGGUUGUCGCAGGAGGGAUUAAAAGAAAAAAUGUUGAAGAUAUUCAAUAUGUCAAUGUGUGGAACUACAGAAAUGCCGAUAUCCAAGGGAGACAAAUUGAGUAAAGAACAGUGUCCAACAAAUAACUUAGAGAAAGAAGCCAUGCAAGACAAGCCAUAUGCAUCACUAAUUGGGAGCCUAAUGUAUGCACAAGUUUGUACAAGGCCUGAUCUUGGGGAAAGUGAUUAUGUUUUAAGGACAUGACUCCCUUUAGUUCUUCAUAAAUGCUGGCAUAUGACAGAAACUGUUACUGGGAUUUUGUUGUUCCUAUUCUCAUGGCCAUUGAAGUAUGAUUUCUUAUAUGGUGGCAUGUGUGAAAACAAGUGUUGGCUCUAGUGGGAGAAUGUAAUCUAAUUAGAGCUACACACUUGGUUUAUCACGUGCUUAAAGGAUUGAAGUCAUAAGAGAUUGGGAUAGACUAGACUUGUAAAGCUAUCAGAGAAUGUUUUUUUAUCUAAUAUAAAGCUGAAAGUAAUCCUGGUAUCAAUAGGUUUAACUAUUAUGAUAUGAUAACUUUGGUUUGUGGUGAUAAGGAUAUUAGUUUAUACAAAUUGAUUAGGAUUACAUGAUGGGAAAUAACCUAAUCAAAUACCACCACUAAGGAUAUAUAAUAGAGGUCCCUGCAUUCACACUAAUUACGCAAAAGAGAGAGAGAGAACAAGCCUAUUGUUUGUUAAUUGCAUACAAUAGUGUUGAGUGUAAAUGAGCUCUAGUUUUUCUGCUGCAAUGGCUACACAAGGUUAGUGGUUAAUUGUAUUUGUGAUUUGCUUAUUUCCGCUAUUAACUAUAUUACAUGGAUUGUUGGGGUUAUCUUAAAAGGGUUACAUCGACAAGGUUUUAAAAAGAUUCAACAUGGCUUCUUGUGGCAUUACUGAAAUGCCAAUUUCAAAGGGUGACAAAUUAAGCAAAAAGCAGUGUCGCAAGAGUGAGUUGGAAAGAAGAAACAUGGAAGGCAAACCAUAUGCCUCUCUUGCUGGAAGCUUGAUGUAUGCACAAGUGUGCGUAAGACCUGAUCUUGCUUUCAGUAUCAGUGUUCUUGGAAGGUUCCAAUCUGACGCAGGGGUGGCUCACAUGAAUGUAGCCAAGAGGGUAUUGAGGUACCUUCAAAGAACCAAGGAACAUAUGCUUAUUUACAGGAAAACUGAUGAGCUUGUGUUAAAAGGGUAUAGUGAUUCAGAUUUUGCUGGAUGUCCAGAUGACCUUAAGUCUACUUCAGGUUAUAUUUUCACUAUGGCAUGUGGUGCAAUUUCGUGAAGAAGUGUGAAGCAGGCAACAGUGGCAGCCUCUACCAUGGUGGCUGAAUAUCUCUCAUGUUGUGAAAGUAUCAAUCAAGCUAUAUGGUUGAAAAUUUUCAUUGCAGGACUUAGUGCAGUGGAUUGUACUUCGAGACCAAUUCAAAUUUGUUGGGAUAAUAAUGCAGCUAUUUUCUUCAGCAAGAACAACAAAAGAUUAUUUGCAACAUGGAAUUUAGAUAUCAAAUAUUUGAUUGCUCGAGAGAAGGUUUGGUGAAGAUUGAUUACUAGGAGACCGGUUUUAUGGUUGUAGAUCCUUUAAACAAAGCAGUUCCAAUUGUGGUUUUCAAGAACUAUGUUGCAAACAUGGGACUGUUAGCUAGUUUUGAUGAUGUUAAUUAGGGGAACAAGUAAAUCUUCUAACGUGUUUUGUUGUUACUCACUAGUUCACAUGACUGGUAUUUAUGAAUAAGUAUUAAUAAAGUUUUCUUCAUUGAUAAGGUUUCCCCACUAAUGAAGUCUUAAAAGUUGUGUGGUUGUUUCGAAGUUUUCCCUCUAGAUGUACAACUUUAAUUAUGACAGUAUGCGUAUAUGUUAUUAUGCAAAUGGUUUUGACAAUAUUAUGAUGUUGGAAAUUUGAAUAGUUUGAGUAGAAAUUUCUUUGUCCCACAUUGGCCAUUCCCAAAAGAUUUUAUCACUUUAUAAGGUUUUGUCCUUUAUAGAAAGUGAUUGGAGUAAUAGGCCUGGAGAAUAAAAUUUGGCUCAUCCUUGGGGUUGGGCUUUGGGGUGCACUAAUUAAUUGGUAAUUAAUUAUAAUUAAUAUAUAAUUAAUUAUCAAAAGAUGGGCCUUGGGCCUUGGGGCUUGGGCUCUAAUAAUUAAAUUAUUUAAUUAAUUAUUUUCAUAUUUAAUUAAUUAUUUUUAAUUAAUUUUGAAUUUAAUUAAUUAUUUGUUUUUUUACCAACAGACUCAUCCUUUCAGAUGAAGUCUGAAGAGUUUAGAAAGAACACAGAACAAAGCACCCCUCUGGAGAAGAUGUCUCCCAACAGACACAUCACAUUCUCAUACCUGUUGCGAACAGGCAUCCUUCUAUUAUAUAUACAUCCAUUUGCAUGGCAUUUAAGACACAAAAAAAAUCAAUAUUCUUCUUCUACAAUCUCAAACAUCCUUUCUGAGAGAACCACACAGAAGUUCACCAGAGGUUAAGUUUUCCGGUGCUGGAAUCCUAACUUGAUCGUUGAAUCCUGGUGAAGCAGACGUCCGUAGAACUACAAGCACUGAGUAGGGACGAAUUUCUGUUUCAAGGAUAUUGUGGUACGCAAGCCUCGAUCUUCAAUCUUUCUAUUUUAAAUUAUUUCGUUGUUCAUACUCUGUUCAAUAUUUAUUCGUAUUUAUUAUUUAUUAGCAUAUAUAAAAUUAUCACAGAUUGUUGACAUAUAUCCAACAAUCUUGAAACAGAAAUUCGAUGGAUCAACAAUCUGUAAAUAUGAAUGGCGCUGUGCCAAAGUAAUCUGAAAAGCCUGAGAAGUUCAAAGGGCUGGACUUCAAGAGAUGGCAACAGAAAAUGUUGUUCUUCCUGACAACAAUGAAUCUCGCUCAUGUUGUCAAGGAAGAAGCUCCGAAGUCUAAUGAGAAUCCAAUGACAAAAGAAACUGUCAUGGCAAUCGAAGCUUGGAAUCAUUAUGAGUUUUGUUGCAGGAAUUAUAUUCUGAAUAGUUUGGAUGACAAUCUCUACGACAUUUAUUCUCCGUGCAAGACAGCGAAUGAGUUGUGGGAAUCCUUGGAGAAAAAGUAUAAGAUUCAUGAUGCCGGUUCAAAGAAAUUUGUUAUCGGUAAGUUUCUCAAAUAUACAAUGGUGGAUUCCAAAUCUGUUGUUUCUCAAGUCGAAGAAAUCCAGAAAUUGAUCUAUGAACUGCACUCCGAGGGAUGCGAGAUCAAUGAGCAUUUCCAAGUUGGGGCGAUAAUUGAAAAAUUGCCAACUUCGUGGAAUGACUUCAAAAUUUAUCUCAAGCACAAGCGUCGUGAGAUGAAUAUGGAGGAUUUGAUCAUGAGGCUACGAGUGGAAGAAGACCACAGAAAGGCUGAUCAUUCUGAAGGGUUUACUGCCAUUGAAGCCAAUGCAAAUUAUGUUGAGGGAGGAAACUCCAAGGCCAAGCCGAAGAAGAAUAAGGCUCUGAAAACCAAGCAGUUUGUACAAUCUGCCCUUGCUCCCAAAGGCAAGAAUCUGAAGAAGAUUAAGGGCGCAUGCUAUGUGUGUGGCAAAUCUGGUCACAAGGCACAAGAUUGUUAUCAUCGUAAGGAUGGAAAUCAUGUCAACGGAAACAACAACAACCAUGCUAACAUGGCAACCACCAAUGGAGAAUUGGCUGCUGUUAUGUCCGAGGUCAACAUGGUCUCAAAUGUCAGUGAAUGGCUGUUAGAUACUGGUGCUACUAAGCACAUCUGCACUGACAAAAAUCUAUUCACUGAAUACCAUCUUGCUACCCAUGGAGAAAAGCUGUAUAUGGGCAAUUCUGCCUUAUCUGCGGUGGAGGGCAAAGGCAAAGUGGUACUCAAAUUCACAUCUGGAAAGAGUCUCACCUUGCUGAAUGUGCUGCAUGUUCCUGAAAUAAGGAGGAACUUGGUUUCUGGACCUAUUCUAAUUACUAAGGGCUUUAAACUUGUAAUGGAAUCCAACAAAUUCGUACUUACCAAGGGUGGGAUGUUUGUUGGAAAGAGUUAUGUGGCUGAUGGCCUCGUGAAACUCAAUGUAAUUGCCAUUGAUGAUACUAAUAAAAUAAAUGCUUCUACUUAUAUUGUUGAGUCUUCUAAUAUUUGGCAUGCUAGAUUAGGACAUGUUAAUUUUCGUUCCAUACAUAGAAUGGUUAAAUUAGACUUAUUACCUAAAUUCAAAAUUGAUUUUAAUCAUAAGUGUGAAACAUGUAUUGAAUCGAAAUUUGCUAAGCAAACGAGAAAGUCAAUUCUGGAAAGAUCAAAUGAAUUACUUGGAUUAAUUCAUAGUGAUCUUUGUGACUUUAAAUCCACACCAACUCGUGGAGGAAAGAAUUAUUAUGUCAAUUUUAUUGAUGAUUGCAGUAAGUAUUGCUAUGUUUAUUUGAUUCAUAGCGAUGACGAAGCUUUGAAUAUGUUUAAGACAUAUAAAGCAGAAGUUGAAAAUCAACUAGAGAGAAAAAUCAAAGCACUUAGAUCCGAUAGAGGAGGAGAGUAUGAGUCUACUGCCUUCUCAAAUUUUUGUGCACAACAUGGAAUUAUACAUCAAACAACGACUCCAUACACACCACAACAAAAUGGUGUUUCCGAAAGAAAAAAUAGAACAUUCAAAGAUAUGAUUAAUUCCAUGUUAAAUAGUUCAGGGCUUCCACAUAGUUUGUGGGUGAAGCUUUACUUACUGCAAAUACCAUAUUGAAUAAGGUUCCUCUAAAGAAGAUUGACGAGUCACCUUAUGAACUAUGGAAAGGACAUAGACCACUUAUAAAACCCUCAAAGUGUGGGGUUGCUUAGCAAAGGUGCAAGUUCCGUUACCAAAAAGAACGAAACUAGGACCUAAAACUAUUGAUUGUGUAUUCAUUGGAUAUGCAAAUAAUAGUGCUGCUUAUAGGUUCCUUGUUGUAAAAUCUUCGAUUUCUGACAUACAUGUCAACACUAUAUUAGAAUUAGCGGAUGCGGAAUUCUUUGAGGAUAUAUUUCCUUACAAAGAAAAGGAAUCUAGUUCUAAUACAAAGAGGGUUCAUGAUCAUAGUCAUGAUGAAGCCUCUUCUUCUGGUGUCCAAGGAAAUGAUGUGGAACCAAGAAGAGGAAAAAGAAUCAAAGUUUCUAAAAACUUUGGACCAUAUUUCAUUGCUUUCUUGUCGGAGAAUGAACCUAGAACUUUUAAAGAAGCAAUGUCUUCUUCUGAGGCUUCUUUAUGGAAGGAAGCAAUUAAAAGUAAAAUGGAAUCCAUUAUGGAAAAUAACACAUGGGAAUUGGUUGAUUUACUUCCCGGUAGUAAACCAAUUGGCCAUAAAUGGAUUUUCAAGAAGAAACUUAAGGCGGAUGGAACCAUUGAUAAGUUCAAAGCACGUUUAGUAGCCAAAGGUUAUCGCCAAAAAGAAGGGUUGGAUUAUUUCGACACCUAUUCUCUAGUUUCUCGCAUAACGUCAAUUAGGACGUUAAUAGCGAUUGCGGCUGUAUACAACUUUGAUAUACAUCAAAUGGAUGUAAAAACAGCAUUUUUAAAUGGAGAACUAGAUGAAGAAAUAUACAUGGAACAACCUGAAUGGUUUGUGCUUAAAGGACAAGAAAGCAAAGUGUGCAAAUUAGUUAAGUCAUUAUAUGGACUUAAACAAGCACCAAAACAAUGGCACGAGAAAUUUGAUCAUACUUUGUUGACACAUGGGUUCAAAAUAAAUGAAUCUGAUAAAUGUGUCUACAUUAAGAGUAAUGAUAAAACUUCUGUUAUUGUCUGCUUGUAUGUGGAUGAUAUGCUCAUAAUGGGAAGCGAUAAAGAUGUAAUAAACAAAACAAAGAAAAUAUUGAAUUCAAGUUUUGACAUGAAAGACUUAGGUCAAGCCGAUGUCAUUUUAGGAAUUCAAAUUAAGAGAAAUAGUGAAGGAUAUGUCCUUACACAAUCCCAUUAUGCAGAAAAAAUAGUACAAAGGUUUGGUCAGUUUGACUGCAAACCAGCUGCAACUCCUUUUGAUGUUGGAUGCAAGUUGGAGAAAAAUAAAGGCGAUGCCAUAUCUCAACUUGAAUAUUCUCAAGUAAUUGGAAGUCUCAUGCACUUGAUGAAUUCAACUAGGCCCGAAUUAGCUUAUGCAGUAAGUAGGCUUAGUAGAUAUACAAGUAAUCCGACAUAAGAGCAUUGGGAUGCUUUAGUACGAGUGUUAAGGUAUUUGAAAAAUACACUUGACUACUGAUUACACUACAUUACACUACACAAAAUAUCCACCUGUUGUAGAAGGCUUCAGUGAUACCAAUUGGAUUCUGACACUACAGAAUCCAAGUCGACAAGUGGAUAUGUUUUUACCUUGGGAGGUGCAGCAAUAUCUUGGAAAUCCUCUAAAUAGAAAUGUAUAGCUCGGUCCACCAUGGAGUCCAAGUUUAUAGCUUUAGACUUGGCUGGCGAAGAAGCCGAAUGGCUCAAAAAUUUUCUGGAGGAUAUUCCAAUGUGGCCAAAGCCGGUAACGACUAUAUGUAUACAUUGUGAUGGUAUGGCCGUGCAAUUAAGGGCCAAAAGUCAUGUAUACAAUGGGAAGUCACGUCACAUCAGACGUCGACAUAAUACUCUUAAAAAGUUGCUCUCCAAUGGAAUAAUAUCCAUUGAUUAUGUAAAGUCAAAGGAAAAUAUAGUUGAUCCUUUGACAAAAGGCAUACCAAGAGAGCAAAUAUUAUUUACAUCGAGGGGAGUGGGUCUUAAGCCAAUUCAAUGAAUCGAACUGGGCGGAAACCUAACCUAGCUGAUUGGAGAUCUCAUGGUCUAGGUUCAAUAGGCAAACUGGUUGAGUUUGAUUCAAAAGUUGAACACACAACUUACCCAUUCUUAUGAUAAAAUGUGUGUUGUCUGUUAACGUUUGAGGGAUUAUGUUUUAUACACUUAAUGACAUUAAUAUCUUGUUAUCAAGAGGAAUAUGACAGACUAUUCUUAAUUAAUGUCACCUAUAUAGGAGUAAAUGGGGCCACAUUUAUGAGAAUUGACAUGGCUAAAUUCUCUAAAACUCCUACGAAAUCUGGGAUCUGUUCAGGGCCAAAAUGAACACAACCAUAUGAAUUUACGUGUGGCAGACAUGAUAUGUGUGUAGUAAUUGUCUCAGUUUACUACUGCGGUGGACAAUUCAAGAUCUUCCACAUCCACUGCGUCACCAAGUAAACCCGAUAUGUUUGCACUAGGGUAAGUUCAAGUCCAAAAAACGCUUCACUCGAUGCAAAUCAUGUCCAUUCUCUCUCAGUUUUAGGCAGACUAGUCAUCCAUUUGCAUUUACAUUUGCAUUCAAAUGUGGGGUAAUUGUUGGAGUUUGAAUGAAAUUUCAACUCAAAUGUGGGUAUUGUUGGAAAUUUGAAUAGUUUGAGUAGAAAUUUCUUUGUCCCACAUUGGUCAUUUCCAAAAGAUUUUAUCACUUUAUAAGGCUUUGUCUUUUAUAGAAAGUGAUUCGAGUAAUAGGCCUGGAGAAUAAAAUUUGGCUCAUCCUUGGGGUUGGGCUUUGGGGUGCACUAAUUAAUUGGUAAUUAAUUAUAAUUAAUAUAUAAUUAAUUAUCAAAAGAUGGGCCUUGGGCCUUAGGGCUCGGGCUCUAAUAAUUUAAUUAAUUAAUUAAUUAUUUUUGGAUUUAAUUAAUUAUUUUUAAUUAAUUUUGAAUUUAAUUAAUUAUUUGUUUUUUUACCAACAGACUCAUCCUUUCAGAUGAAGUCUGAAGAGUUUAGAAAGAACACAGAACAAAGCACCACCCUGAAGAAGAUGUCUCCUAACAGACACAUCCCAUUCUCAUACCUAUUACGAACAUGCAUCCUUCUAUCAUAUAUACAUCUAUUUGCAUGGCAUUUAAGACACACAAAAAAAUCAAUAUUCUUCUUCUACAAUCUCAAACAUCCUUUCUGAGAGAACCACACAGAAGUUCGCCAGAAGUUAAGUUUUCCGGUGCUGGAAUUCUAACUUGAUCGUUGAAUCCUGGUGAAGCAGACUUCUGUAGAACUACAAGCACUGAGUAGGGACAAAUUUAUGUUUCAAGGACAUUGUGGUACGCAAGUCUAGAUCUUCAAUCUUUCUGUUUUAAAUUAUUUCGUUGUUCAUACUCUGUUCAAUAUUUAUUCGUAUUUAUUAUUUAUUAGCAUAUAUAAAAUUAUCACAGAUUGUUGACAUAUAUCCAACAUAUGAUUGUCAGUAGGACAAACAACCAAGAGUUUCAAUAUGAAACAUUAAGAUGAAUUGAUGUAUCGAUUCUUAAGGGGACCAAGUGCAGGAUGUGAGAAAUUAUACAUCUACAGACACAUUUUACACAAAUUUUGCAUCUUGUAUGUGUUAGUUUUGUGAAUGGAAUUAUGGGGAUAUUGUUCGACAAAUUGAACAUGUUACCAUUUAGUUCUUCAUGAAUACUAAUUAAUGACCUGAACUUGUAUUCGUGAUUCAAGUUGGUGUUGAUCUCCUGGCCAUUUAAGAAUAACUUCACAUAAGGCUAGCUACUGUUGAAUCAAGCGUUAACUCUAGUGGGAGAAUGUAAGUUCUAACGAGAGCUGAACACUUGAUCAUCUUUAGUUUGGAGAUGUGAGGAUAUAAGAGAUUGGAAUUAACUGAGGUUGUAAGCUAAUAAGGAAUUUGUAUAAUAGAGGUUUCAGCUAAAACAGUCAUGAUAGUGUUGAAACACUAAUAAUGGAUGGGAAUGAUAGGUUUUCUCGGUGAUAAGGUUAGAUUGAUUAGGAUUGUAUAAUGGGAAGAGCCUUUAUCAAUCAUCAUCGUAUGCAGUAUAAAAAAGGGGUCCAUGCGCUCUCUCAAUCACGCAAACUAAAGAAUACUCAGAUCUCAUUCAUUGAGCGUGAGGAGAGCUGCAGAAGAUCCCUAGUUUCCAAGAGAUGUCUUCUUCAGGUUAGUGGUUACUUUUGUACUGUGAUUAUUCUAUUCCGCUGACUUUGUUUAUAUUGAUCUUACAGUUGUUACCAGAGCUUUAUGUGGGCUAUUCUUGGUACAGUUUUCGGUUCUGAUUCAUUAAAGUUGCAGCUGGUUGUUUCGCCUGGAUCACAGUUAGUUCUGCUAUUGCCAGAUCUAUUAUAGCAGAGGGCGACUUGG
rnacentral:lncRNA from 1 species